UUAAUGGUGGUGCAUGCUUGGGAGUUAAAAGUGUACAGUAAAGAUAGUUCCUCUAAUACAAGGAUAUAGAAUUAAUCACUCUCAAUAAAGUUACUUGAUUGCUGAAGGUUAUUGGUGGAGAAUUGCAAGCUGAUAAAUAAUUGCUCAACUUAGAUUUGAGAUAACUUGUGGAAAUUACUUCUUCAGUAGGUCAUGUUGAGUUUGCAUGCAUCAUCGGAUUUCAUAUCAAGUGAUGGUUAAUUAGAUCUCAGAUCCUUGAUACACCCAUUUUUUGUAGUUGUAAAUUCUGGUCUAAUAAAUUUUGGCCCUUACUGUUUGUACACUAUAGGUAUUCUGGGAUCACUAGGAAGGAUAUAAAGACCCGCUGUCCAGUUUGCCGUGGUCUCUGCGACUGUAAAAAAUGUGCCCUUGGUCAAACCAAGGGUGCUAUGCGUAAGGUGGUCUUUCUUUUCAAUUUCACCAUAGUGUGAGCAAUUUGACAAUGCCAUUUUCUUGUUUUAUAUUUAUUUUUUGGUGUUUAUAUCUUGGAUCUCCAGGAAUCACCAAGUGGUGAGGGGAAGAUACUCAGCAUAAAAAUUUCCAACCAUCAAUUUUACAAGCUUUUACCUGUAAAACUUGACCAGGAACAGCUUGAUGAAUUGGAAUUAGAAGCUAAAAUACAAGGUUUGUUUGUGCUAUUCUUUUUUUCAAACCAGACCUCUGUGGUUCUAUUAUGACCUAAUUGUCUGCUCUUAUUUAGGAACAAAGAUAUCUGAUGUUCGAGUCCAGGUUGCUGAAAAUGGCCAGAGCGAGUCACUGUACUGGUAAGCUCUAAUCUCUUAUGUUGCUAUCAGUUACAUGCAAGCUAGUAACAUGUAUCUCAAUUUAAUCAGUUUUCUCCCUUCACUUUGUGUUAUGUUGAGGAUGACACGUAUCAAUCUUGCAUAUUAUAUGAAUGGUUAAAUAUUUCUUUGGUCAUGCAAAUGUUAAUCUGCGUGCGGUUAUCACUAGCUAAGUACCAUUACUGUUCUAGUUGUGUCAGUUCUGUUUCACCUGUUCAUGUCGUAAAACAAGGCAACUCUAUUACCUUCGCCUGUUAAUCUAACAUUAGAUGUGCUGAAAGAGUUAUUGUACCCUCAUGGUGCUUUUGCAUUGAAGCAUCUAUAUUGAGUCAUCCUAGGGAGAGCUCAGUUUUUUUUUUAAAAAAAAGUUUACAUCAUGGUUUACGCAUUUCUUUUGUUUAUAUAUGCCUCUUGUUGUGUUUAUGCUGCCUUUUCGUGUAUUUGUUUAUUGCAGCUGCCAUCUUGUUUCAAUUUCAAAUUUAUUAACCAGAGAUCUUAUUGAAUGUUUAUUUUGAAAGCAGCAAUAACUGUAAGCUCUCAGCGAGCCAGUUCCUGAGAUGCUGCCCGGCAUGCCCAUUUAAGCUGUGCCUAAGUUGCUGUCACAAGAUACGUGAAGGAAACAUGUCAGACAGCACCCCUGAAGAUAAAUUCAAGAACAGGUUGCUUCAGCAAGAGUCUGUCCAUGAGGAUGGCAGCAUUACUUGCCCUUCAAUUGAGCUUGGUGGCUGCGGUGAUGCGCCGCUGAACUUGAUAUACGCAUCCCCUUCUGGACAGUCUGAAGAGCUCAGUUCAGAUGAUGAACUACAUGCUCCAGGCAAUCAUUCUGGAGUGAAGGAUGCUCAGGUUCAUAGCUCACCUGCACCAGAGAGUAAUGGAAGAUUAUCUGCUGCCCAGACGGAAACCGUCUCCACAUAAUCACCUAAGAUGUAGCUCCAGUUGCAGGUAUGCAUUCAUCUUUCAGGUUGGAGCUCAAGUUGACAUUCAUUCUGUAGCCUGAAGAGGUGUAUGAUAUGGUCAGAAUUUGGUAGAGGGUAGGUUGCCUGAUUUAGCGAGAUUAUCGGCCUGUAAGGCCAUUGAUUUUAGCUCUGUGACAUGGGGAUUCUUAUUUCAUGUGUUGUUCAUGUUCAUCUUUGAUCCGGAAGUCAUUAUGUUAAACAUCGUUGUACAUAUGGUUAUGACUUUAUUGUCAUUGCCGAGAGAUGAUGGAAAUCAUGGAAUGGUUGUACUGCCGUUAAUUAAGGGGAGAUUACUUUUUGCUGGCUAUUUUUAGAUGUGGUUUCAGUGUUCACUCUUCAGUUGAGCUUGAAUGUUACUGUUGACAUGUGAGGGUGGUUUCAUGUUUGUUCUGUCAUGCGACUCGAGCGAGUUGGGGCGGCGGCGAUGCUACUGGUCAUGGGUGGCAAGAGUUGGGGCGGGGUGAUGGCAACAUGGUUACAUCAUACAUGGAGGACACCGCUGUUGAUGGAGGUGGUCAGGCGACACUGGGAAGCGGGGACAGGCGUGUGGCACAGAGAAGAAUCGCUGAAAGAACGCAGACAGCGGUGUGCUGAUUUGGUAGAGGAGGAAGAUGAUGUGUAGACUGUUGGAUCAUCUUCAUCCAACGAGACACCAUUGUUGACUCAGGCGACUGGCUGUUAUUAUCAUUCACAGUUUUAACAUGCAAUACUGCAUUCAGUUACAUUUAAAAAAAAUCAUUAACAUUCCAUACAUUUCAAAAAUAAAAAAUUCAGUAAUAUUCCGUAGAUGCUAACAAGGUACCACAGAGUUCUUUUUAUUAAAAAAAAAGGUUACCGCAGCAUAAAAUAAAAGCAGUUUCCCAUUGCGGUCAUUAACAUUGCAAUACUGCAUUCAGUAAUAUUCCCAGUUUCCCAUUGCGGUCAUUACCGACCUUAUUCACGUCUCACGUGUCACGUCCAAGGUUGUUCACGACCGACAAGAACUGGGCGAACGCCGCACGCGAUGAUCCGCCAUCCUUCCAGGCCAUUGCCGCGGCAUCCUUGAGCGCCGCCACUCGCGAUCUGAGCCGCUCCCCUUCCUCGGACUCCAUCACCAGCCUAACCUUGGCCUCCACCUCCCCGGCCUCGACCAGCCCCUGUUGGCACCAAACAACUUCCAAGCCGAUCCCUGCUUCCUCCACCAUGAACACCUUGUUCAUCUUCUGCUCGGAGUACAACGGCCAGCAAAGCAUCGGCACGCCCGCCUUGACCCCCUCGAGCACCGAGUUCCAUCCGCAGUGCGUCACGAAGGCGCCCGUGGCGUUGUGGUGGAGCACCUCCACCUGCGGCGCCCAGUGCUUGACGACGAGCCCACGACCUUUGGUCCUCUCCGAGAACCCGUCCGGCAGAAGCGCGUCGACGUCCGGCUCGGACGGCCUCCCCGGACCGGCGCGGAGAGGGGCUCGCACCACCCACAGGAACCGGUGGCCGGAUCUCUCCAGGCCGGCGGCGAUCUCCCUGAGCUGCUCCUCCGAGUGGGUGGCAGCGCCUAUGCUCCCAAAGCAGAGGAACACGACGCUGCGCUCUGGCUGCGUGUCCAGCCACGCGAGGCACUCGUGCUUGCCUUCUGCCUCGGCGCCGGCACCCGAGGCGACCAAUGGCCCGACGCAGUACACCGGGGGCAUCCUGCGCUCGCUGCCGCCGGGAAGAAGAAUCUGCAGAUCCCUGAGAGCUCCCACCGCCCGUUCCUCCAGCGAAGCGAACGUGUUCACCAAGAUGCCGUCGGCCUCCGUGUUCCUGCACAUGAAGUUCAUCAUCACCUUGUAGAUCUCACUCUCCGGGUCCUCGAGCAGUUCAGCGCAGAGGUGGGAAGCCGGUAAGGGCACCACGCCGUGGAUGUCGAGAGGGGUGUCUCCUAGCUCCCUGAAGCUUGGCUGGCCUUCCUCGCGCAUGGACGGAAGCUGGACGAACACCGCGAGCGCGGAGGCGUUCAUGGCGUAGAAGGUGUAGCCCGGGACCCCGAGCUCCUUCGUGACGUCUAACGCUUCCAUGGACACCGCGUCCACAAUCACCGCGCGGACGCUCCGGGGAGGCAUGGAUGAGAGGAACUCACGGAGGUGCUCGUUGUAGCGCCUGACCAUCUCCAAGUACCCGAGGAGAAACUCCACGCCCCUCUUGAGGGUGGGAGGGUUUUUGAUCCGAGGGAGCGUGUGGAAGGUGACCGACGGCUUGGCGGAGGCGACGCCGCGGACGGUGGCGGCGAGGGCGACAUCUUGGUCGAGGGUGAGGUCGAUUAGCGCGACGGCGACGGCGUAGCCGUCCGCCAGGAGGACGUCGGCGAGCUGCAUCAUGGGGACGAAGUGGCUGACGGCGAGGCCGGGGUACAGGACGAUGGUCUUCUCCAUGGCCUGUUUUACUUUCUGGGCGUGGCUCUCGGUGCCGGCAGUCGGCACUAGGUUUCGCCUUCCCGUCUUCCCGGGGAAGGAGAUGUUGUGGACUGUUAGACAAGAAAAGGCAAAAAUCUAUAUGAUUGAGGAUAGGACGAGCCGCGACAGGUCCGCGCGACCCCCUUUUGUCCUGCCAUCGUGCUGGAGUGUUGGGCCUUGUUUAGUUGGCUAAAUUGGGAGGUGUCAAAUUAGUGUGCUGGCACUGUAGCACACUGUAGCGUUUCGUUUAUUUGUGAAUUAUUGUUCAAACAUUGACUAAUUAGGCUCAAAAGAUUCGUCUCGCAAAGUACAACAAAACUGUGCAAUUAGUUUUUAAUUUCAUCUAUAUUUACUACUCUAUGCAUGUACCGCAAGUUUGAUGUGAUGGGAAUCUUCUUUUUGCAUAGUGCCAAAGUUGGGAGUUAGGGAUGAAAUAAACAAGGGCUUGGUUUGGUUUAAUGUCCCUGUUUCACGUGAUAUCAAUAAUGACAUCAACUAGAUGAAAUCAUUGUAUUUUCUUUAAACGAGCAUAAACACGCGACCCCCUUUUGUCCUGCCAUCGUGCUGGAGUCUUGGUUUGGUUUAAUGUCCCUGUUUCACGUGACAUCAUCGAUGGUUUGGUUUAAUGUCCCUGUACAUAUGAAUUAUUCCUACGUUUGUCCAUGUAUCCGAGUCCUUGAUCUAUGGUUCUCUUGGUCGAGGGUUGUGCCUUGCAAGGUCAAGUCAUAAUUGGGACGACGGCAAUGUCCAUGGCGCACGCUUUGCCGCUUGAAUUAACUCUUUCUUGUUAGGCACGUAUGUAAUACUGAUGGUCUGAUGCCACAUCAGACUAUAGCUCACUAAUUAACCAUCUGCUGUAAAACUAUCCUGAACACUAGCCUCUCGGUAAAUAAACACAAUUCUAUGCAUUAUUUCUUUUAUACUAAUAAAUUCUAGGACUGUUGAUCCCUACAUGUAGACAAUAUGCUCGAAAUACAUAUAAAAUAACAAUUAACAGAGUAUAUGUCAGGACCCCAGGUAUGAAAUACUCAAGUUCCUGUUGUGCUUACUGUACUUGUCCCAUGAUCAGUUCACAAGUACGCACAAUAGCACUGGUAUCACAAUUGCACACAAAAAUUUGUUAGUAAAAUUAAAAUUUAAUCAGAGCUAAAAUAUAAUCUACAACCAAAGUAAAUAGAAAUACAGGACUUCCAUCCUACAGUAGUGUGCCUCACCAUCCCACAACUGACUGGGAGUUAGUCCUAGAAAGAACCAACGUUGCAAAACCCACAUCCUUCGGCACGGAACUGAACAGAGACGAUUCUCCUUCAAACUCUGGAUUUUUAAUUUAAGCAAUAAGGGUGAGUUCAAUUUUGUACUCACAAGACUUAGAGUGUAUAGAAAAAUCCUAUCAUAAGGUAAACAAGGAAGGCUGACAGGUUCAUGCUGCAUUUUAUUUAAAUUCAUCAUUUUACGUAUAUUUAAUAAAUUAGUUUAGUAUAUUUAAAAUAGAAUGGCAUUACCAAUCAUGACUCACCAUUUCCCAUACCGCAUUAGGUCCUCUGACCAGCUAUAUCGGUCCGAAACAUUUGAAUCGGUGCAUGUGAUAUCAUAUAACCCUUAUCCAGGUUUUCAAAACCAAAACUCUAUAACCGGCGGCUAGUCCAAGUUGCUCAUGACUGUGAGCACGGCUAUUCGAAUAGUCUUUAACGCUCUGCAGAGUUUGUACACUUUACCCACACGACAUGCUCCACUUUGAUGCCAUCGCAAAUUGACACAUUUCCGAGAUGUGCCGGCAAGUGAGCAUGACAGAGUUGUUACAUCAGUCGGACCCGUCAUAAUGCUACACAACAGACUAUAGAAGCACCUCCAUACAUUUGCCCGGGUUAGCUACCCCGACACCGUUGAGCAUCUCGUGCACUCGGGCGGUAACAUCACCUCGGAGCCAACUGACUUAGUAAGCUAAGGCCGUACCCAUUAAGCACAUGUGGUUGUACUAUAACACUUCGACUAGAAGAUGCCAAUUUCCGGUCCUUAAUUUGACACGGGUGAGAAUCCCUAAAAUGCGCCGAAAACGCAUAUAGGACCAAGUCAUAUCCACCAUUCAUUUUAUCAUCCAUCUUUCUUUAUCCUCAUAUCAUCAUGACCUCUAGACCAUAUUAUCACCCGCAUCUACCAUAGAGUUUUUAUUUUUUCAAAUAUAAACCAUAUUUAUCUUUCAAAUCAUCCCUCCCAAGUGAUGCUAUUUAAGUGACCGCGUAUUAGCUCUAAGCAAACUAAGCAUAUGACACCGAACUGAACGAAUAACCCAUAGCCUUACGGCGACAAGGUAUAAAAGGUUUAAAAUAACAAGGCAGGUAUAUGUAUUAAAGUAGCGUGUCUACCCGAUACAAAAUGACAUUUGGACUCAUAAAAUCAUCGUCGCAUGCAUGUAAAUCACAGGCUUAGGCAUUUAAAUAGGAGCAAAGAUGAUCAAGGGGGUGCUUGCCUUGUUGCUGAUCAUUCAUGUUCUCGAGUAUCAGGUCAGAGCCUCGCUAGGCAUCCGGCACAGCUAUGAACGUCUCGUCGUCUGCUCGAAUCGGACGAAUGCAAGGUACAUGCAAAACAACCAAAUAAACAGCAAUGAAGAACCGAAUAAACACCAUCAGAUGAUAGAGCAUGAUUUUAGAACAUCUUAGCAGAAAGAAUCGAGUUAUUUGGAGUUCAUAUGAGUGAGAUAUACAAGUUUGAAGUUUCGAUAUGAGAUUAAAAAAACAGAACUGUUCGGAUUAACUUCGAUUUUUCCAUCAUUUUCGUCAUUUAUUUUUGCACCGUAAACUCACAUGAAUAGGUUCUAUUUCAUUGGCAUGACAUGCAUUCUUCAUGUAUUUCUCUUUUUAUUUUCCAACAGGAAAAUGGGUCAGGUGACGUCAUGCUUAAGUCAGCAUGAUGUCACUGCCCUUUAAACUGAGCAGAGCACCGCGAGUGCGCGGGGCAGCUUGGGCUGGCGGUGCCACGCGGGCUGAGCACGGGACGGCCAGCGACGCAAGGCUGCGUGGUGGAGCGGGCGGGCACUGCGCGAGGCAGAGCGUACUACGCACGCGGCUGGGCGCUCGCGGCGGGAGACGGCUGUGGUGGCGUAGUGCGGCGGCUGGGAGCCCGGCCGGUCGAGCAAGCUCGUGGCCAGCCCGUUGCCGUGUCACGCGUUCGAACGCGUGCCUGAGUGCGAGUACGUGCGCACGCGGCGCCGGCCGUGACAAGGAAGCGCACGUGGCCGUGUGCGUGCCGGCUUGGCCGUGCCAUGGAAACGGCCGGCGGUUCGGUACGCUCGCAUCAAGGCCAUGACGGGGCCAGGAUCGCCGCAGCAUGCGGCCGGGCGUGUGCAGCGGCCAAGCUACGUGCUUGUGCGGUCGGUGCUCGCUAGCGUGAUGGUGACGUGGUGUCCCACGGCCGCGACACGGCUUGCUGCUCCAAUUUGCUUGCCGAAGGAGAUUAAGAGGAGAGAGACAGAGACGUGCUUGGAUUUGGAGGAGUAGUGGGCAAGUGAGUGGAUAGCUGCUGACAUGCAUCUCGCGUGGGAGAAAAGAGCAGAGGGAGAGAUCGAGUGAAGGGUUGGUACUUGGUAGCAGGCAAGGAGGAGCUGGUGGUGCUCUCGUGCUACUGCUGCUGAUUAUUUACUUGCCGACAGAGAGAGAAGGGAUAGGGGAGACAGAGGUGGGGUGGACAGGAUGAAUAUAAGCACGAGCCACGACUUUUAGCUCGGUCAGAUGCCUCGAGUUUGGUGAGAAUGCAUCAUCAUCCAUCCAUGACAGCGGCGCAGCAACGGUGUCCUUCGCGCGGGCGGCGUGGUCAGGUGGCUUGGAUGGCAGCGGCGCUCGGCACUUCGUCUUCCGUGACGUGCGCACGAUUCCUGCGCAAGGCAGUAAAGGAGGAAGAAAGGGAAGAGAAGGGUCCGGCUCACUUGCGGGCUGAGCGUGGUAAGAGGAUGACGAGCGGAACCGCGAGACCCACAUUCAGAUUAUGGUGAGGACAAAGUUGGGCCUGAAUGAAAAAGAUGGGCCGCAGCAGGUAUUGUCCAGAAUGAGAUUUAGUUUAGAAAAAGAUUUCGUAUUUGAUUUGGAUUUCAGAAGUUCAAACGUAAUUCUAUUUAUUUAAACCUUCUCCAAAAAUUCCAAGAAAUUCACCAAAAAUUACUUUGAUGACUUAGAACUUUUGUAGCAAAGUUUGAAGAUUUAUUGUAUUACUUAUUUUUUAACAACAUUUUAAACAUGCUCAAAGAGGGUUGUUAAUGCAUAAAACAUGAGAAGAACAAAUAAAAGCCAAAGAAAAUUUUAUUUAUUUAUUUAUCUUAAUUUCAUUUCUGUUUGAAUUUUGGGCUGUUACAGUAUAUGCAGUUAGUGCAAAUUGACACAAAGUUAGAUCUAAAAGAGAAUCAAUAUAAACGACUCUAAACUCCAAAUUAGAUUGCAUAAUGAAUAUCUCGUCAAAACCACUGAAUUGAACAUAUCACAUGCCAAUUUUGCAGAUAGGAUGGGAGAGACACGUCACACGCAAAAUGCAAAUGAGACUAUGAGAGAAAAUGUCAGCUCGUAGGAUUGCAGUCCACAGCAGCUUGGGUGGCCCACAGUUGUUGUUGCUUUGUUGCACCCACCGGCCAGGGCAAGGCCGGCGUUGCUUUGCCGCCUGGCGCGCGCUCGUCCGACUGCAGGCGUGGGCUGACCGAGCGGGCCCAAUUCCAUAUCGAUGCAGGCGUGGGCUGCAGUGUGCUCGAAGGGCCGAAAUUUCAGCUCGCGGGCCGACGGUCCCGCCCAGCCGCUCUGAUCUGUCGAUUGGCAUGGGAUUAAUUCCUAUCGAAGAAUUACUGUAUAGCUAGCCCGUCUUAGUAGGUGAGUUCAGAAGAUGGGCCCAUAAGUCAGUGGCGCAAGGUCACUAAUGCAAAGAAGACUCGCCUAAGCGUUCUGGAGUGAAGAUUGCUCGGAUUCAUCGCUCACCUAUACCAGACAGCAAAGCAAGAUUAUGUGCAGCAGAGACGGAAUUCCUGUUCUGUGGGGAGUACCAUAGAAUAUUUUGUUGGAGUUGUUCCAAAUUCACUCCAGGAUAUAGGCCGGGCUUCUGACGGAGCGGAGGCCCAUCGCCGGAGACUCCAUAGAAUGUUUUGUACGGUACAGCAUAUACACCCUUGCUAGGGUUUCGUGGAGACUUGAUUCUCUUGUAAGCCGCCAUAGGCGUGUAACCCAAAACUCCUGAGAUAGUGAGAUUGUUGCUGGCUGGUACCCGUGGUUUUUCCCCUUCAUAUUGAAGGGGUUUUCCACGUUAAAUCGUGUGUCUCCUCUGUGGCUUGAUUCUUUACUUCAUAUUUCCAUACGUCGUUCAUAACAUGUUGUAUCGCAAUGUUCAUUCAAUAACAAUCUAUAAUAAGCUACCACAGCGUACAGGCAAAAGCGUUUCAAUUUCAUCUCAAUUAUGCAUCACAAUGGAGUCAGCGAUGCGUGAAGCACGUCUUCUCCCGUCCGACAAGAACUGGCCAAACGCCGCGCGCGACGAGCCGCCGGCCUUGCAGGCGACGGCCGCGGCAUCCCUGUGCGCCGCCACUCGCGCCCUGAGCCGCUCCCCUUCCUCGGACUCCAUCACCAGCCUGACCUUGGCCUCCACCUCCCCAGCCGUGACCAUUCCCUGCUCCCACCCAGCCAUCUCCACGCCGACCCUGCCCUCCUCCACCAUGAACACCUUGUUCAUCCUCUGCUCCGCGUACAUCGGCCAGCAGAGCAUCGGCACGCCGGCGGUGAUCCCCUCCAGCACCGAGUUCCACCCGCAGUGCGUCAAGAACGCGCCCGUCGCCCGGUGGCGGAGCACCUCCACCUGCGGCGCCCAGUGCUUGACGACGAGGCCCCGGCCCUUGGUGCUCUCCAGGAACCCGUCGGGAAGGAGGGCCUCGAGGUCCGCGUCGGCGCCGGACUCGAACAGCCUCGGCGUGUCGCCGCUCACAGGGGCGCGCACCACCCAGAGGAAACGGUGGCCGGAGUUCCGCAGGCCGGCGGCGAUCUCCCUGAGCUGCUCCUCCGAGUGGGUGGCGGCGCCGGUGCUCCCGAAACAGAGGAACACGACGCUGCGCUCUGGCUGCGCGUCGAGCCACGCGAGGCACUCGUGCUUGUCUUCUGCCUCGGCGCCGGCGGCGCCAGAGGCGACCAGUGGCCCGACGCAGUACACCGGAGGCACCCUGCACUCUCCGCCGGGAAGAAGAAUCCGCGGGUCCCGGAGAGCCCCCGUAGCCCGAGGUUCCAGCGACGCGAACGUGUUCACCAGGAUGCCAUCGGGCUCCGUGUUCCGGCGCAUCAAGUUCAUCAUCUGCUUGUAUAUCUCGGUCUCCGGGUCCAGGAGCGUUUCGCGCAAUAGGUACGACGCCGGCAUGGGAGGGACGCCGUGGAACUCGAGAGGGGCGUCUCCGAGCUCCUUGAAGCUGGGCUGGCCUUCCGCGCGGAACCAGGGGAGCUGGAGGAACACGGCGACCGUGGAUGCGUUGACGCCGUAGAAGGUGUAGGCCGGGACCCCGAGCUCCCUGGCGACGUCGAGCGCAUCGGCAGAAGGCGAGUCGAUGACCACGGCAUGGACGCUCCGAGGAGGCAGGGAGGAGAUGAACUCGCGGAGGCGUUCGUUGUAGCGCCUGAUGAUGUCGAAGUACCAGAGGAGCGGUUCGCCGUAGUCUGCGACGGCGGGAGGGUUCUGGAUGCGGGGGAGCCUGUGGAUGGCCAACGACGGCUUGGCGGCGGCGACGCGGUCGACGGCGGCUGCCAGGGCGUCGUCGUGGUCCAGGGUGAGGUCGAUGAGCGCCGCCGUGACGGCGUAGCCCUCCUCGAGGAGGACGUCGGCGAGCUGCAUCAUGGGGACGAAGUGGCUGACGAAGACGCCGGGGUACAGGACGAUUGUCUUCUUCAUGUUCAUGGCUUUGAUUCUCUGCCUGCUUCGUGGUGCUGGAUGCUAAUCGGCUCUAUCUUUGCAGUAGAACUCGUGGCCAGCCCGAGCUCUUGCUUUCGGGGAGAAGGGUGUUGAUUUCGCGUCGACGUUGGAGUGAAGAUAUAUAUGAGAGAGAGCCGAUGGAAUGCUAAGUGUGGAUAGCUAAUUAAAAAUAGUGACAGUUCGGCUAGACUUAUAAGCCAACUAAAAAGUUGAAACGGCUGAUUUGUUGUGAGAGAAAAAUAUUGUUCGGUGGCUGAUAAGCCGGCUGAUAAGCUAAAGUGAACAUCGAAAAAAAUGCCGGGUAUACAUCAAAGUUCAGAUUUGAAGAGGCGUUGAACAUGUUUCACAAGGGAGUAUCUGUACCAACCAGUACUCAAAUAGAUUCAAGUCCAACGAAUCUGUAUUAAUUGAGGAAGCAAAGCAUCGGUCAUUACUAAAUUUUUCUAAUAAAUCAAGCCCCAUUUCCUUUGUCACCGGAAACCAGGUACGGUAUCAAGUUACUCGUUGAGUGACUGGAACGGAGAUAAUCUCAUUCUCGAGUAUCUUAAGCUCAAUAAUUUUUUUUUCUAAUAACUACUUAAUGAGCAUGUUCCAAUAUCUUUUUCCAAUAUCCUGAAAACCAGAUUUGCUGACAUGGAGAAUUUUCUGUUUGGUUUUGCUGACUAGGAACGACCCGUCAGCAGCCCCCUCCCCUGCUAAUCCAACUUCUCGCAUGUGCCCUCCCGUGAUUCUUUGGUUUCGCCGGCACCCAGCUCCGCCUCCCCUCCACGCCGCAAGCAGCCCUCGACCAUGUAGCCACCUAGCCUUGCUAAGCCUGCCGGGUGCCGGCGCAGUGCCCAUACUCCCAGUAGCACGUACCCCCACGUGGAACUAGACCCUGCGUCGCUGUCGAUUACCACGAGUCAAAUGGAUUCUAUUGGUAAUGAAGAAUAUGCCAGAGGAAGGAAUCGAUGAGAGACUCGCUAUGGAUGUCGAAUUUGACCGGCAAACGCAGACUCUGCCAGCGCGUUCUCUCCGUCCGCUCUCGAGCGCCGCAGUUCUUUCCGUUCCCGAGAACCGGCAACCAGCCCCACGUGCCGCCUUGCAGUGCCCGUGCCGUCGGCGGCUCGCCCCGCUCUUCAAUUCCUAUGUCUGCUCCUCCUCAUGCUCCGGACCAUGCUCCACCUGCUACGGUGGCCGCCGGCGGGGUUCGAGGAGCUCGUCAGGGAGCACUUCUGCCGCCGCGGCAGGUUCAUGCUCUGGUCGUGCGAGGCGUUACCUGCAGGAGCGCUGCGACGUCGGGACGCUCGACGACGACGCGCGCGCCACGGUUGAGGAGAGCAGGGAGCGGCUGCUCCUGUUCAGGCUCGCCCUCAGCAGCGUCGGACUGUAGCUCGCCCAUCGCUAGCCUGACGUCCACUCGGCCGAGCGAAGGGGAUGACUUGUCAAGCUGAUGUGUCAAUCCUAGUAAACUGAUUUGUCCUGCUAGUGAUUAUAUACGCAGCCUGGAACCUCCGGAAGGAGAGAUGCAUGAGAGUCUAUCAAAAUAAGGCCAUGACUAUGGAUCAACUAACCGGUACCAUCAAGCAGAACGUAAUGGCGUACAGGGAGGCUACUAAUGUAGUUCAAUAAACCAUGUACGGUACCCUGGGUACGGAAUACCCGAGCCAUUCCCGCGAGCCGCGCGCGAGCGCUCCCUCGCAGGCUCGCACCGCCCCCUUUUGCAGAAUCCGCUUCCAGGUAAGCGAAUCUUUGAAGAGAUCCUUCCACUGUCUUUACUAUCAUAUCCUCUCCUCCUACCCUUGGACUUUUUUCAUUUCUUUAAUUUUUACACACCGCAUACAGCAACAGCUCACCUACGACAGCCAGCCAAGAACGGUUGUAUUGUAUAGUACUUUGCCGAUAAGAUACGCACAAGCACGAACAGGAAUAACAGUCUCUUUCCAAAUUUGAUUUCCCCCACAGCUAGCGCAAGGAGAUCGUGCUAAUGGAUGCAAUAAUACUGGCGCAUGGCAUGCGUGCAAAUCAUGGCAGGGCCCAGUUGAUUAGGAAACAACCAAUCAUUUCUUGGGGGUAUCAAUCAUGGACAGAUCGUGGAUGAACCGUGAUCGCCAUGUGAAUUAACAAAUGGGAUGUGAACAGAAUUAGUAACUGCUAAUCCUGGAAGUGGUCUGUCAAAAGCUCUCUGAUCUUGGAAAGGUUAACAGGUUUGCCCUGAUGCCAAAAAAAAAUUUCAACAGGUUGGUCUCUGAACAACAUAUUCAGAAGAACUCUGUUCCAUUUUUGCUUGGCAUCUUUUGCAGCAGCGAGCGGAUCACACGAGGGAGCAAGCAAGCAUAUGCUCUGCUCGCUCCCCCAUUCCUAACCUAGCUAAUCUUCCUUGCCCCCAAAUGUUAGCUUCUUGUUUGAGGCAGCGGCGGCGGCGGAUCUAUGUCCAAAAAAUGGGGAAAAGAAAAACAAAAAAUGGUUUUUUUCCCUAAGAGUAAUCAGUCCCUGCAGAUGCCGGGCGAUUAUCUGAUCCGGCUGCAGAGCCGGGACACGUCGGAGGGGCGGACGGGCUUGAGGAGGAAGUCCUCGGCGCCCUCCUCCAGGCACCGGGUGAUCCGGUUGGGCACGUUCUCCGACGACAUGAUCACCACCGGGAUCUCCUUGAGCUUGGACGACUCCUUGACGUGCUUGAGGAGCUCGUACCCGGUCAUCCCGGGCAUCCAGUAGUCCGUGAUGAUCAUGUUCACGUCGGGCAGCAGCCAGCAGGCCGAGCGCGAGCAGCUCCAGCGCCCUCGUCGCCGAUUCAACAGUGGGCACUGCAAAGAUUCGAGAACACACAAUUUAGCCUCCCAAUUCGUAACUGCUGAGUCGAUCACUCGUCGAUCAAGAAGGAACAGCACACUUUGUUCGCACAUCCAUCGAAAUUUACCUCUGUAUUCGUAACUGCGGAGGAUCGAAUGCUCGUCCUGUCGUAACAGCCUGAAAGCUUCCUCUGUUCCUUGCAUUCUUACUGUGUUCUAUUCCUGACCCUGUUCUUCGUUCACCUCGUCUACUUCUGCUUCAUCUUCAUCCUGUGCGCAGGUGAAUAUACAGAUAGAAAUCCAUUUCACAUGAGUGUAUAUAUAUAUAUAGGGAGAGUAUAUAUAUACAUGAGUGUGUGUGUGUAUAUAUAUAGACACACACACAGUUAUAAAACCACCGAGUAGAAGCCUCUGACACUUGCAUGCACCUGGUUAUAGAAGAACUGUAGAUGAGGGUUUGCUCCAUAAAAACCUGAUAGCCAAAACUACUGUACAGUCAUGCUCCUUGCACAAAACUAAUUAAAUACAUGAACAUACUGACAGAUAGAUAUGAAUGAAAAAGAUGCUCCAUAUAAUGUAGAUCCUGUAAGGAAUCUGAUAUGCACAAAACCGGGAAUACAUAGAAACACUAAAUAACUUGCAAAUUAAUUGAGUGCAGUUCUUCUGCAAAUGCAGUAGACAAUAUAUGUAUACAAGUUGUAGCUCCAGCCUCACUACUAAAGGGAUUAAUUUAACAUGCAGCACAUGAUUUAGAACAGUUUUUUUGAAAAGGAUAAACUACCAACAAAAACUGAGGAGAUUUGGAAUGGCAGAUGCAUGCCUUAAAUGCUGGGGUUCAGAUAAAGAUAAGACGGCAGGUCAGACAAUAGUGUGGAGUCCAAAUGGCAGAGGGGUGCAGUUCUUCAACGAUGGGAAAGUCGCUGACCAACGAUGUAGGAGCUUGUUAUGAGGACAUCCAGCAUUGACCUACACCACGAUCACUUCUCAUGAUUCAGUUCUGAAAUUUAAAGAUGCAUACAAAGAUGGAAUAUCCAAGCCUGAAAUUCCAAAAUACCCUUAUUAGAGCAUGCCAUCCAUUUAUUGACCAUUAUUAAUGGGGUCAUGAGGAUGGGUUAGAAACAAGUAUUAAGAAAUGGAACAAAGAAAUUUUGAAAUUCACAAACUUUUGUCGGUAUGCAUCUGCUUAUUGCAUCAGUGAAACAAUAGUAGAAUAUGGCAGAGCAGGUUUGCCCUGUUCUCAAUAUAAUCCUUACGUUCAUUCCACUGUUAUAGGUCUAUUUAAUUAGAGGUUGUACUCACAAACAGAAGCUAUAAAAUAAUAUGGUAGAGAAGUUGGAAUGGGCAAAGAGUAACAAAAAUAUAAGAAGCUAUAAAACAAUAUGGUAGAGAAGUUGGAAUGGGCAAAGAGUAACAAAAAUAUAAGAACCAUUUUUUUCCUAUACUACGAAGAUCUGACCUCAAUAUUUGGAUGGCAUGCUUGAUCUCUUAUUGUAAACUGUCAAAUUAAAAUGAUAUGACCAGUACAAACUACAUGAGCAUAAGAAAAGCAUGCAGAAGGCUCUGCGUACAUCAAUCUCACAAUUCCAUGCUUGCAGUUGCCAUCGCUGGACAUGAGUACAAUCCACCACAGCUUGCUUAGCCUACGAUAGAACUCUAUGUCCCUAGUCCAGCAUCGAAGUAAUUCUAGAGAUAAAUAAAAUGUCACAUUGAGCUGACCAAAUAUACUAGAAAAAGUAAUUUCUAGAGAUAAAUAAAAUGUACAAAAUGAUUACAUGCAAACCACAUGUCCUAGCAGCAGAUGUAGACUAAUUGUAAUGAAUCAUAGUUCCAAAUGUUCUUCAUUGUGCCUAAUUUAAUUACAUUCACGAGGAUGGAAGUACCCCAGUAGUGAAAGACAAUGUCCAACGUGAGCUGAGAUCAAUGGCGUACCGGCCGGUGAUACAUCUGAAUGCCCUUGACCUGAAACGAAAAUGCCAAUACUACCAUCAAAGAUAGCACAAUGAUUCUAAGACUGAAAAUGCAACGAUAGCUACUUCAACCAGAAAUUCUAAGAGUUUUUCAGGUGGUAAAUAAUACUCGAUCCACUCAUAAACACCAUAAAUUCACAACAUUAUGCUAUGAUACCCGCAGCCAACGUAUCCUGUAUACAGUUAGCUAUUUAAUAACUAUUGAUCAUUUUCACCAUGGUGGCUCGGCUAGUUUUGAGAUAGUCCAGCACACGCUAAACCCACACACGCCAUCCUACAUCGCCACCCCGAUUCACUAGCGGUGCUGGAGCCAUCUGAAGGCCACUGCCGCUUCACCAUCUUUGUCCCCGGACAGAUGAGGUGGAGACCCGAAGGUCAACGGGACCUCCUACGCAUUACCCCAACACCGGCGUCCCCUUCACCGGCCACUGCACCAAAUGAGAUGGUCGGGUCGUCGCACAACGUUGCCACCGGUUGAUUACUCAACUUAUUUACUAAGAUAUGUUUAUGUUCUAAAUGUUAAGAUCCUAGUUUUAGUUAAUCUAAGCAACGUAGAUUUCUUAAAAAAACACAGAGACACAAGUCCUGAUUUGGGAUACUCAUCACCAGUUUUACCCCCCAAGCAAACGGUGCUGGAUAAUUGAUCCAAUGUUGAACAUGAAACUCAUCUCCAUCGGUGAAGGCAAUAAACUCAGGGACAGAUUCAAGGCCCACUACUCGAGCUUUGACAAUUAAACGAGGCCGAUGAGCAGCCGAGCAGGUCACGUUCCCAAGAAUUUAGGCGUGCAAAGUAGCUAAUGGCCUGCUCAAUGUCUUCUGAUUCCAAUUAUCAAGAGGGAAACCUAAACCUCUCGGUUCAAAUCAACAGCUUUCCAACUACCCCAUUUAAUCCAUCAUGCUUUUCCACAAAGAUAUAUAGACCCACCCCUAAAAUGACAGUGACAGGAAAUCCACCUCGUGCUCCAGCAAUGGGUCAUUCGUGACGAUGGCAGUGUCCUCGUGUCCCUGCUCAAUGUCUUCCUGAUUCCAAUUAUCAAGAGGGAAACCUAAACCUCUCGGUUCAAAUCAGCAGCUUUCCAACUACCCCAUUAAGUGGGUGUUUGGAAGAGGGGUGCUAAACUUUAGCACCCCCACUUUAGUCCAUUUUAGUCACUUGUGCUCCCAAACAGGUGAGCUAAAACUAGUGGACUAAAUUUUAACCCUCCACUAAUCCUUUAGUCACUUGGGGUAGCUAAAAUGAACUAAAUAGACUAAAAAGUGGCCCCCGGACCACUUUCCCCCCUACCCCCCUCCCCUCUCUCUCCUCCCCUCAGUCUCUCUCUCUCCCCCCGUCGCUAGCCUCCCCGUCGCAGCCGCCAGCGCGGGUCAUGACAGCCGGAUGCGAGGAUAGUGCCGCCGAGGAGCAUCCGUCGCGGAUCCAGGUGGGGUCGCAGCAGUGGCCCACAGCACCUGGCACGGCGCGAGGCCGAUGCCACGGCCGCCGGAGCCUAGGCGCGGUAGGGCAGCGCGCAGACCCUGGAUUCCGCACGGCGUCGGGCUAGGGUAGGUGCAGGUCGCGGCGGUGAAGCCGGGUGGCCUCCGCCGAGGGGGCCUAAGCCACGCCGGGGUGCCGCUGCCAGCCGCGACGCGGGGGGUCUCGCUCGCCUUGCCGCCGCUGCUACCGCCUCCGACCGGCGAAGGGGGUGGCUGCGGGGGAGGCAACGACGGUGCUGAUGGUGGUUGGGGAGGAUGAGGCGAUGAAGGUGUGGAGGAAGAGGAGGGGCUUGGGGUUUGAGAUCGGGGUGGUGCUCCUGCGUAUGAGAGGGUUCAGGGUCUUGAGGAAGGCCAUGGAGGGGCAGCUAUGCAGGGGUAAAAAGGGUCAUUUGGUAUAGCAGGUGCUAAACUUUAGCACCCCUCCCAAACACCUCCAAAGGCUAAAGUUCAGGAUUAAAUUUUACCACCCUCCUCCCAAACAAGGCCUAAUCCAUUAUGCUUUUCCACAAAGGUAUAUAAACCGACCCCUAAAAUGACAGCGACAGGAAAUCUACCUCGUGCUCUAGCAAUGGGUCAUUCGUGACGAUGGCAGUGUCCUCAUGUCCCGGGUGCUAAGAGUUUUUUGGAUCAUGACUAAUUUUUAGUUCGGGUCACAUCGAAUUUUAGAUAUCAAUUAGAAGGACUAAACGUGAACUAAUUAUAAAACUAAUUGCAUAAGCCGUGGCUAAUUUACGAGAUGAAUCUAUUAAGCCUAAUUAAUUCAUGAUUAGAACAUAUUUACUGUAGCAUCACAUGAUCAAAUCAUGGUUAAAUUCGUUCCGCGAAUUAGCCUUCAUUUAUGCAAUUGGUUUUAUAAUUAACCUAUAUUUAAUACUCCUGAUUAGUAUCUAAACUUUAGUCUCUAUCUUCAAACGGAGCCUAAUUUUGAAGAGUUUGUGGUUGAUUGGGUAAUUCAUCUUAGCUUAGAAAAUGGGAACACUUCAGCCCCCUUUGAUAGGGCUACAGCUCCUCCUAAAAUGGGGAGGAGCUGGAGGAGCUACUUUUUUUAGCUUCGGUUUCUCCAUGUAAAACGGUUCCGGUCCCUCUCUAAGGACGGAGCCGUUUUUUACCAAACUGUUUAGUAGGGCUUUACUUGGAGCCGCAGGAGAAACUAAAGCUGGAGCCCUGUAGCCACCUUGGCUCCACUUGCUCAAAGACAUUCUGGUAUGAAAACGAGGCACUGCUACAUAAAAAAGUAACUGGAAAUUCUUGAAAGUGAGUUUGGAAAACCUUCAGCAGUAGCGUACAUAUCCUAUUCAAUAUCUUAAGGCCAAUCUUAGUGGAAGUUUCAUAAGUAGUUUCAUGAACAUUAAAAUUCAUGCCACAUCAGCAAUUUUGCUAAGUUGGCAAGGUCUUUAUGAUGAGAGAGGAAGGGGAGUUUCAUCAUAUGUGAGAAGAGUUUCAUCCCCAUGAAACUUAAUCGGCACAGUUACUAGUUCCUAAUCUUCGUAAUGGUACAAUGAAAUUGUGCACUAAGACUAGCCUAAGACAACCAUGUGUUGAAGAUCAUCGAAUAUGCACAAAUAAUAAGAAUAUGAGCACGAGGGAUCCUACAUUACUCGAUGCAUGGUCACGUCAUACACGUCGUAUCGACUAAUGGAGACAUAUACCGGUAGCUAAUAUUAGGCCAGUCUCAAUGGUAGUGUCAUGAGGUUUCAUGGUCAUUAAAUCUCAUGCCACAUCAUCAAAAUUGCUGAUUUGACAAGCUCAUUAUGAGGAGAGAGGAGAAGAGAGAAACCCACUUCAUGAAGCACAAUAAAACUUGCACUAAGCAUGUUAUGGUUUUAUGUCACGACACAUUUAAUCGUAAUACAAUGUAAGAAUUAAAUGAUACAACAUAUUUAUGAAACUGUGCAAUAAAACUAUAUGCACUGAGAGUGACUGUUCGUUUUAUUGAAAAGCUAACAUGACACUCUUUGUACAGUGGCCUAAAGAUUAAAUGGAAAACACAAUUGGAGUCGUGCAUGGAGAAAACAAAUAAACACGAUACAUAUGACAAUCACAGCAGAUGGACGGCACAUGAACAAAUAGACAUGCAGUCGGCGGGUGCAGGGGGGCUUACCGCUUACGCCCCACUACCUCCACACAAACACCACAAAAAUGCCAGACGGCCGGAGCAAAGUGUCUGCCCUGACGAUGUGCCGUCUGCAUUGUGCGUGCAGUCGUUGUGCCGAGCUAUUCAUUCGUACGGGGAUUAGAUGGGAUCAUUUUCGUGCGUGUGUAAAUACACUCAUCCGGUGAUCAUGAAGAUGGUUAGCUGUUCAAACUCUGCAUAGAAUAGCGUCGCAUUUCUAAAUCUGGAUGUCUUGGCCCUCGGGGAAAUGUCAAGCUGAUCGGUUUAUGAAUAAUGUAGUAGUGAUAUUACAGCUUGGAAUCAGAAGGGAUCCUUAUUCUCAGUAGAAGAAAUCAGCGGGGAACCGACCAGCCUUCAGGCUUGAAGUUUAUAACCGCCGGCUCCAGCUGGAUAGAAGCAUCUCCAUCAGUUUUCAAUAAAUAUUUCUCAAUAACUAGUUAAUAGCGAUAUCCCAAUAUCACUUUCACUAUUAUUGGAGGAGUUGCUUUUGUAGUCUCCCAAUAAUCUCAUCCCAAUCCAACUACCGUAUUGGGAGAGUCACAACUCCUUUAUUUAAGAAGAUUUGGGGUGAAUUAUUGGGUUAUUCCAAUAAUUAUUGGGAAACAGAAAAGGUAAAGGGAGACUGCUGGAGUGUUAUUUUCUUAUGGAAAAGUCUAUUUUACUCUCCUUAUUUAUUUACUUUGUCCACUUAACCCCCUAAGCAAAAUUUAGGCUCACUUUACUCCCCCAAACUAUUUCAUUUGGUCCAAUCUACCCCUAAUUAGAUUUCUCUCUUUUAUUUCUUUGCGUACAAAUUGAAUUUAAUUUCAGAUUUUAUCUGUUGACUUAUAACAUGAUGCUCCAUGUUAAAAAAAUAUAUUAGAAUUUUUCAUAAUUACUUUUCGUACAGUUUUGUAUAUCUAAGAUCAAUUUCGUAUUAAUUAUUCCUAACCUAUGAAAAUAACCAUGAAAAUUUCUUAGUAUAAUUUUCUAACAUAAGGCAUCAUAUUUUGUACAUGGUCACAAAAUUUAAACUCAAAAUUCAACUCAUACACGAAGAAACAAAAAAGAGAAAUCUAAUUAAGGGGUAGAUUGGACCAAAUGAAAUAAUUUAGGGGAGUAAAGUGAGCCAAAACUUUGUUCGGGGUGUUAAGCGGACAAAGUGGAUAGAUGAGGGGAGUAAACUAAAUUUUUCCCUUUCCUUAUCAACUCUUCCAACUCUUCCCAAUAUGAUAGCUGCUGGAGAUUCUUUUAAAGACUACUCCACUUCAGUUUGCAGAAAAAAAUGCGCGCAACGCAGGCGAGUUGUUCUAUCCUACUACCUCCCAUUUCUAAUGCUAGUAGGGUAGAAGAAGUCGCCAAGAUAUCCUAUUCACACCCGAUCGAACAUGAUUGGGGUGAUUGGAUCAGGCAAGCAGCGAGGCGAUAGGAGCAGCAGGCCGUGCCUUCCUGCUCACGCUGCGUCGUGGGCUUGUGGCUGCUGACGUGCCCUGCCGCUCGGUGGCCCAGAGGUAACGUGGGCUCGCAUUCACAUACACGGGCUUCUAUGGGCCCUAAAAGGUUAAGGCUCCUUCCUUCUUGCUUGCUUGUUGUUGUUUUCGGGAGAAGUUGUGUUGCCCGCGGGCUGUUUGCUGUUGGCACGAACGACACGCGAAAACAGGGCCUCGACGCUGUAGCCUGUCCCACUGCUGCAGCCUUUUGUCACUGACUGACUGGUGCGGGAAGUUGGGAAAACGAAGCGGGCAACAGGACGCGCGUAGGAAUCUAUGGCCCGGAGAGAAGAAAUCGGGAGACCGAGCGGGGAGCGUCGAGCCAGACUGACGACGCACAGACCCUGACGCCCGCCGCGCCACACGUAAACCUACCACGUGAACUGUUGCCCCAGAAGAACCAGAAAAGCUCAUGCUCAUCGUUCCGUCCCCCCACAAACUGUUCCUCAAGUUCAUCAAAAGGCAGUUCACUUCAUUCACAAAACGAAGAAACAAGUGAUUAACCCCAAGGUUAAAAGGCACCGAGAUUACAGAUGUUCAUAGUACUCGAUCAUUCCCGCCAACCUCCACUAUGCAAAACAAGUUACUACUCCGCCGUAACUAACAACUCCUACAGAAUACCGUGUAUCAACAGAGUGGCAUUGCCUUUCUGAAUUUACAAGAACGCAGCAUCCCUGCUGCUGCUGAUCAUCAUCAGGCAGAGCAGGAGGCCAAGAAGGACGUGGAGGAUCCGCGGCGUCGAGGCGGCAACCGCCGAGCUCGUGCUCCCGGUGUGCUCGAACUGCAGCGAGUCCACGGCCAGCGGCAUGUUCUCCUGGUCCGGGCUGCACCGCGGCGCCGCGCCGCCGCUGCCGGACUCCGUCGGGUGCGCCGUGUAGAGCAUGGCGCGGAGCACGGCGGAGACGGUGGGGAUGUAGGCCGUCUUGUUCUUGGCCAGCAGCCACGUCAGGCCCAUCAGCUGGCAGUCCCGCCCCAGCAUCCGCCGCGCGCGGUCGCCGCCGGUGACCUCGCGGCUCACGUUCCCCUUCAGCUGCAUUAUCCAGCAAUGAAGGAAGCACACAAGCCAGAGACUGCAAGUUAGAACCUUCUAUUCGAAUUCGAACAAGACCCUGAAGAAACGCAGAUGCAGUAAAUGUGGUUCAUGCAGGGGACGUUCUCGCAAUGCAGGUUUUGUUGCCAAGUAGGUGGGUUCUGUUCCAGACUCCCAGCACACAACGUUGGAUUUGGCUUGCACAGACUCCCUCAGUAAAUGCUACCCAUGCAUAACAACCUGUUCACGCCGAUGCACAUGCACAUUAUGCACACUUAAUUUCAGCAGACGUGUUACGGCAAAGCAAAAGCUUUCGCCGUCCUUUGGAAGAAAAAAAAAACAGCAGACUUCAGCAAUGCACGCAACAGAACAUCGUCAAAAAGUUUUUUUAGUCUCCUUAAUGCAGCAUGGUUGUUAGUUGUUACAGAUACAGCACGCAUGACUGUUCGUCAAGAUUCAGAUGCCAAUCUGGAUGCAGGACAGGCAGGUGGAGGACAAGCUCGGCUCAAUUAUCCACAAACGCCGCCAGCGGUGGUUAGCCGACUAAACAUUCAUAAUUGGAAAAGGCUUCGGACAAUGUGGCUCAUGCCAUGCUGUCUGUCGUCUGAUCUCCCCGCAACACUACUGUACUAAGCCAUGGUCCUGCAAUUAGCUGGCAGGGUAAAUGGUAGAUUGCCCUUUGCCACGGUGCUUUCAGAAAGAAAGGGCAAUUGAGUACUAGUUUCAAGUACCAAAUGAUUAGUGGUGAUCAGUUCAAGAACAAGCGGCUGGUCCAUUUAGGCAUUCGAAAGUUUAGACAAUGAUGUGUUCAGAAAGGAGCUGCUGCUUUGUGGGAAAGCCCGAAAGGGGAUCUCCUCCCAUGGAUGCUAUAAAGUUGGUGUUCUUGCAAGAACGAAGCAAUUGGAAAAAAACGUUAAGAGAUUUUCCUAUAACAAAGUAGAAAUUAGCCAAUGGGUUUAUGGAAGCGUCACAAUUUAGCAAAUAAACAUUUUUUUAUAACCAGAAAUUAACAGCACUUGAAAUGUAACAAGUUGAAUCCCAGAAAGUAAGAUACAGCAAUCAAGGAUUCGUGGGAAAUGAAAAGAGAAGGGACAAGAACAGAAAAGGUAAACCAAGGCAAAGGCAAUGGCAUUACCUUUUGCAGAGCUAGCAAGAAAGGAUUUGUGGGAGGAAAAGCUAGCAAAGCAAGAAAGGAGCUCACCUUUUGUAGGGACUGGACGCAGCGGGAGCAGCCGGAGUAGGAGGCGUUGCGGCAGCUCUUCUCCAGGUCCUUGACGGCAGCGGUGGGCGUCGCGUUCUUGGCCGCCGCGCCGACGGCGAACGCGGCGGGGCAGCGGAGCGAGCCGAUCUGGUGGAGCCGGAUGCCGCAGAAGCAGAGCACGGUGUCGCACGUCCUGUUGGGCGACGGCAGCGCCACCCCGCGCUUCUCCAGCGCGGCGCCCAGCGCGUCGACGCACCGCUGGUUGUCGUAGGGCACCAUGGGCCCGUCGUCGCCGGGCCCGAGCCCCUCCUCGCCGGAGAGCGCCGAGGGCGCGGGCGCCGGGGGCACGGACAGCGCGGUGCGCGCGUGCGCGGCGAAGAGCCAGGCCGCGAGCACGGGGCAGCAACGCCCCCGGUCGAGCGAGCCUGGCCCGCCCCCCGCGCCGCACGCCGCGGCCACGCCGCCGAAGAGCUCGGCCGAGAGGUCCAGGUGGCAGGGCGGCGAGGAGGCGUUGGACGGGGACGAGGAGUUGGACGGGGACUGCGCCUGCGAGAGCGGGAACGACGGCACGUCGGAGGCGCAGGCCGACCCGGCGAGGAGGGCGAGGAGCAGCGCGACGGCGAGGUGCGAGUGCGCCGACAUUGCCGCCGGCGAGGUGGAGUGGACCAGGUGGCGGCGGCGGUUGUGGGCGAGAGCCAAGAAGUGAAGUGUGUGGGAGCGUGGGCUCUGGGGACCGGGUCUUGUAUAAAAGAGCCGGACCGGACCCCGGGGUCCGUGAUCGGGAGGGGAUGUCUGUUGGAGCUCUUGGUUCAGGGGUUUACGGGGUUGGAGAGGGCGAAGUUUAUAGUAUGCAACAGUAACAUUAGAAAUUACAUUACAUGCACAAUGGUUUCACCCUUUGGUAGUUCGUCGUACCUGUAAUAGUGUAACCUAAGAGCCAAUUUCCGUGUCGAGUUCUUGGCAUCAAACCUUUCAAAAAGUGUCUCAGUUUGUACCCUAUGUAAACACUUGGUUCAUCUAUACUUUUAAGUCUACUUAAGUGUUCUGUAAAAAAUAUAAAGAGAGAGAGGCGAAGGUGUCCAUCUUAUAACAGCUAAAGAAGAAUAAAAUGAACACAUUACACAUCAGUGGAUGUUUUGCUUGUACGGGAAGGAAUAUUUUUUUCGAAUUUGGAGAAGUGGUUUUGGCUUGGAGUUUGUUCUUCCAAGCUUGCCUAGCAGUCGUCAGUCGUCACUAGCGGUGAGUGCCAUAGCCGGUGUGUCUACAAAGCCCUAAUUAGACGUGGAGGACUAGUGACAUAGUAUCGGUUUGAUGAUUCGGUGGUAACUCAUCGGAGACUUGCUAAGAAAGGUGAAUGCUGAGUGGAAAAAGAAAUUUAAGCGUAGAAGGCAGUGCGAGAAGUUGCUCGGGAACGACUAGCCAUCAGAUUUGGUCCGUGCGGCGAGCGGUGAUUUUUGGGCGGAGACACCGAUUGGCCGCUGUGUGGUGGUACUAGCAUCACUGUUGGAGCCAUUCUUUUUCGCGUCAUGAUGAUCCGAUGCUGCAAACAGUUGGGUCAAAUCAAGAUCGAAAAGCAGGAGGACUAGCAGAGGAGUGGUACGCUAAAAAUACAGGGUGGGGGAGCAGCGAUCAGGUUGUUAGACAGCCCAGGUACAAUCAUUUCUAUCCUCGGCUAAACAAUUGCGAAAUGGGCUCACACUCUGUCGGCUGGAGACAAAAAUGUUUAGCACGGGCAUCGAUACCCAAUCGAACUGUGGAUGUCAGGCACGAACCGAAUUUUUAAGAUUCUGCUCGUGAAAUUUGUGCAGGGAAGCAGCAUUUUGUUUUGGAAUUGAAGGACAUCAUAAGCCGGGAAUCAUGGGGUCAAGUCAAACGCUGAAACGCGCAUGCUUGCUGGGGUUUAACUCGGUAAUGUUAAUGUGACUGCACGGCCUGACCGUAGGGAGGAAGGACAAGCACGGUGGCUCUGCAGGUAGAGUGCUCAGCGCCUGGGGCGAGUAGGUUUUGAUUCCGUCCCUGUUCCAGCUGCUACUGCAACGGCCCACACUCAACCAGUGAGGGAGGAACCUUGAUCGCAGAAAGGACACCUUCCUUUUCACCAAAUACUGCCAACCUGAUCUAGAUGAACUUAAUCAAGGCCUUGUUUAGUUGGGGAAUUUGGGAGGUGCCAAAUUACUGUUACAGCACUGUAGCACACUGUAGCGUUUCGUUUGUAUUUGUGAAUUAUUGUCCAAAUAUUGACUAAUUAGGCUCAAAAGAUUCGUCUCGCAAAGUACAACAAAACUGUGCAAUUAGUUUUUAAUUUCAUCUACAUUUAGUACUCUAUGCAUGUACCGCAAGUUUGAUGUGAUGGGGAAUCUUCUUUUUGCAUAGUGUCAAAGUUGGGAGUUGGGAGUAACUAAACAUGGCCCAAACCACCUCAGUCUGUCUCCCUGCAUUUGCUUUACGGCAAUGGCAGUUUAAUAUGGGAUGUCUCAGAGGAACAGGAUUCAAAGAGGAGAAAAAGAUACGCAGCCCGGGCAGCCGGGCCGCCGAGCCAGAGCCGGUAGGUCACAGGUCCACAGUUCAGACGGACUGGGAAAGGGGUUGUCCCUUUUCCGGCUGGGUCCCCCGGCCGUCGCCCUUACCAACCCCUUCACGUGAACGGAUGGAUGUCAUUGCCAGCAGCAGCGGGGCGUUGGGCUCCGCGGCGCCGGCUCCCUGCUGGAGCGAGAGGACAAGCGGCCUCUCCUUGUCCUGCGGUCCUGCCCUGCCGAGUCCCGUCGCACAAACCGGCGGAUCACGGGGCUCACCUCUGCUCCCGACCCCAGCCCGGGAGUUCCAUUGGCCGUUGCUUGCUCCGUUGCUCGCGAACCCAGUGCCGUUCUUCUCUUCAGGAUUCAGUCUCAGCCAUGGACCCAUGGUAGCUAGUAGCCUUGGAGGAACGGAACUGAUCGAGAGGCGAGCAAUGGGGCUUUCUUUACAUCUUUGUCAGCAUGCCUGCCACUGCCAUGCUCAGUUGUUCUGACGACAGAAGCUGCCCACUUGUGUGUGCUUGCUUGCUCUUGCGCAUGCAUGAGAGAGAAGAUGGGAGAGAGUAGAGAGAAUGAGAGAUUGGCUUUUUUGCACAAAGAAAGAUCAAACACCAUCCUGCACGAAGACUCGAGGAUUUUGCCCUUUCGCUCCUUGUUCUCACCCGUGUGGUUUUACCUGCAUCAGCAACGCCAAGGACCACGUACACCCACUCCAGUACUCCACUCAGUAUCAGGCACUCACACAGGCCAAAAUCCCAGGCAGCUUUCUCAUCUUUUCUCGGAAACAAGAAAAGCCAUUUGGACCGGGGACAUUUGAAUACAUCCAUCCGGCUCCGGGCUACAGCCAGAGCAGCCAGGUCGUUUGCUUGGACUUCUACGACGAUACCAACAGCAGCAACAUGAUGAGCAGCACGAAUCCUUGUGGGGAUUUCCCUUUUUUGAGACUUGAGCUGGCCCUUUCUGCUUUGCAGCUUCUCUCCCAGACCCUUUUGCUGAGUACCCUAGCGUCGAGCAACUGUCAAGGACCAUAUCUCUCGUUGAUCGCCGUGCAAAAAUGGCCUUUAGGUGCAAAGCCCUACAUAGAAAAGGGAUUACCAUCAGGAGGUCAGGCUGCAGCUGCAAUCCAGGGAAGGGAGGGGCACGGGCAUGUGUGUGUGUUUGUCAGGUACCUGUGGUCUCCUCUGUUUAGUCCUUGCCGAGGGGCUGCAAACACUUGUCUCUAGCGCCAUGGGAAUAAUAAGCAAUGUCCUGAUCAAGGCCAAGGGGGGUGCUUGUUUAUUUUUGUUUAGGUGUGUGUGGGUUGGGGACGAAUGCUGAGGAUGGUGACAAGAAUGACGCCCGAGAUGCCCGGGCUCCUAGAAAUUUGACGACGAGGUAGGCAUCUGUUUUCAGCUCAAAGUGUGGCACAACCGUCCGGGCCCAAGGGGAUGUCAUGUGUGUGUGGCCACCGCAACGGGUGUUGGAUACGCGUGCUUACUGCACGGAAUACCGUAGUCACGGCACCUGUAUGCCUAUGCCUGAUUGCCUGAAUCGUCAGGGCUCUGUUUCGUUGCUUGAGACUCGUGAGCAACAGGGCAACCGACCACUCCAGCUUGAUUGAACGCCGAGGAACCCAAGAGGGGACAGCAUGACAAAAUUUAACGGUGCGUACUCAAAAGUGUAAAAUCUGCAACUAAAUUCCUCGGUGAAAUCAUUCCUGAUUCUGAAACUGGUACGGUGCACCUGAAAUUCGGCCAGCGAAGAUGAACGCUGCGCGGACAGCAAUGGCCGCCGGCCCGCCGCCCCGUCAAGCAUUGCUUGAUGCCAGGGUCGACCGAGCUGGUUGAGGCCGGCCCACAUGGCCUGAUGGACGACGGAUUGGCUGUUGCCUGUUGGCAGGUCCAGGCUACCAUUCCUGGCCGACCGCGAGUCCAAGAGGGCAAGAUUUGUGCCGGCCGCUGCGAUAGCGUAAGCUGAUACCAAAACAUACUCCACUGCGAUAAAAAAAGAAGCAGCUGUCGGUGUUUUAGACCGGCAACCCGUCUAAGGGUACCCUAGGUGGUCUUUUGUGCGGUAAGGAUCGUCGAGAAUUAAGGAAUCAAUGGUGACGCAAGGAACACGAUUUAGACAGGUUCGGGCCGCUAGAUCGCGUAAUACCCUACGUCCUGUGUGUUGGUUUGUAUUUGAUGAACCGGAGUUGUUCUCGUGUGUCAAGGUGUUGAGGUGUUGGUUCUUGAGGGGGGAUCCCUGCCCGCCCUUAUAUACACGGAAGGGCAGGUCUACAAGUCUGAGUCCUAGUCAGAUACUAUUACAGAGUUCUACUCGGUAAUGGCCCGAGUAGUUUUCCAUAAACAUACUUGACUAGUCCGAGUAGGAUACGCUCAUCCUUGUUCUGAUCUUGUCCGAGUACGUCCCUUGGUGGGCUGUCCAAGGCCUACUCGUGGACCUGGGGUGUAUGCCCGACAUACUCCAAUAUGCUAGACCGUGGAUCCUACAUGCAUAUCCCCCAAGGUCUCCAGCGGUUUAGCAUCGCGGCGAUCGACAAAACCACGGCCAGAGUUUGAUUUCUCUUCUCUCAUUCUCAACUAAACGACGUGAAACCUAAAGGAAAAGUCUAAGCGAUGAUAGGUCGCGACCUGACGCGAGCGCGCGACUCCCACGACACGGUCCAAACCUACUGUAAAAAAUUAGGAUGCGCCUCCCGGUAGCUCGUAUACGUAUUCAGUUUCACUUCUUACAGCCUGUUCGCUUCGGCUUAUCAGCCACCGAACAGUGUUUUUCUCUCACAACAAAUCAGCCGUUUCAGCUUUUCAGCCGGCUUAUAAGUCCAGCCGAACAGGUCCUUGAAAUGUAAUAACUUUCUUGAUGAUGUAAUAACUUUCUUGUAAAAUGUCUGAUUUUAAUUCUGUUCGCGCUACUGUGUUCCUUGCUAUAAGAUCAACAAAACAAAUUCAUGAAACAUAUGUUUUGGAGUGGUGUUUUUAAAGUAGCAAUUUAUAUUGUAUGUGUAGUAGCUACCUAUGUAUAAAUCUGUAUCAACUUAUGUGUAAAGCUUCCAACAUAAAUUGUUAGAAUUUCUUUGCAUAAUGUUGUUACCUAUCUAAAGUGUGUAUCUAAGUUGUAUACAAUUUAUUCGUAGACAUUUACUCUACAUAAGUUGUUACAAUAUCCCUAUGAAGUUUGUAACAACACGGAGAUAGUCACGCAUUCUCUACAUAAACUGAUACUAAUUAAUAGUUGAUACAAAGUCACUACGUAUAAGUUAAAGGUGCUAGUAGACAUAGAAGGUACUAUACUGAACAGCAUAAGUUGGUACACGUCCAUUGACAAAAUCAUACUACACAUAAUAGAAAAGUUUCUAUUUCCAAAAUACACAUAAGUUGUAUACUUUAUAUAUAAGUUAUUACUAGACUGAUAUAAGUUGACGGAAGUACAAAAUCGCUUCAAAACAUAUCAAAUAUGGAUCUUGUUUUGUAGAUCUUGUUGUAAAAAAUAUAAUAGUGCAAACAGACGUGAAAACGGAAAUUUGACGAGAGAGUAAUGAUCACUUAAAAAAUAUGUGCGUUUUUUUGUUGAUAAUAUCAUCACUGAAAGCGACGUCCCAUGAUUAUGGGAGCAGUUGCCCCGGCUAUCUCCUGACACUUCCUGGGACACAUGGCAGCAUAAUACGUGUUAGCACAACAGGUCGCGCGUUAACCUCGUCAAAACAAAGUGUCGGCUACUCGGCUUUGCAAAUUCCCGAUCCAGACCAUGGAUCAUGGCAAAGCUGCCUAGGCCAGGGCACCUAAGCAAAAGCAUAUAGCUAUGUUUGAUCCAAGUGUUAAUAGACGAAAGUGCUAAAGUUUAGCAACUUUAUGCAUUAGCCCAUCCAAACAGGAGAGCUAAAUUUUAACCCACCCUAAAAAGGUGCAAAAAAAACAUUAGCCGGUGAGGAGAAGCUAAUAGAUACUGAUGGAUUGUGAAAAGACCAAAAGGGGAGAAAGAAACGGAUUAGGUAAGAAGAUAAGGAACAAAAGUGAUAUUUCAUGAAAUCCAUUAGACAUGUCUCCAAGCAGAAGUGCUAAUGGAUGAAAGUGCUAAACUUUAAAUGAGCUAAACUUUAACAUUUAUUAAAAUAACUUUACCGAUAGCACAUCCAACCAACCCUGUACCACGGUCCUCCUCCGAUCCAAUCAUAUCAAGACGUGGACACGAGAGCUCAGACAGCUACAAAAGCAACAGCGGCUCAUACCGCCACUCGUGCCAAUCAAUUCCGACCACAGUAACAGAAAACAGUUCAACCGUGCAUUUCUUCAUUUGCAUUCAACACCGAGGGAGCAUCACGCUUACCGCCAGCAGCUCUCAAAGUACAACCAAAACCUUAGCUUAGCCAUUUUCUUGUUAAUCCAAAAUUUACAUUAGAUGGCAUGGUUGCCAGUACGAAGGAAGCAAAAAUCUGGAACCAAACUUCCAUGUGCUUUGCAAAUUGCAAUGUAGUUUAGCUCGGCCCCAAUGAGAAAAUGAAUAUUCUGUUCUAAGUGUUUGUUCCUCCAUAGAGUUUGUGGACAGGAGCUUUCCAUGAAUUUUAAAGAACCCCAUGGCUGACUCCACCAAGGCGGUGGGCAAAAUUUUCACUGUGAAGGUUUUCAAACAAGAAACCCCGCGCAGAGAGUUGCUGCUAGUGCUACUUUCAAAAAGACGCACAGAACAUAGUGCAUAAUACUAUUAGCUUAAUAUUGCCAUUGGCAGGUUGCUUCCAGUUAGAUGUUUUGGCUUCUAUUCCACCCAUCAUCUUCAGCUGCUGCUAUACAUAAAGAGCGGUCUGUUGAAGAGAGAAGCAGCAUGGAUCAGAAUUUUUAGGUUUGCUGAAUUUCAAUGAACCAAAUUUCAAACUUAUCAUAGCCAUAAUAACAAAGAACAGAAGAAAGGAACUACUGGUUGGGUUAUCUAAAUACGGUCCACACAGCAUAUGACACAGGCUGAUGGACUGUAACAAAUCUCAGAAGUAGCCCAUAAAGUAUCCCAGGCUUCUUGUUAUGUUGCACCACAGCCAAAAUAUGGUGAUGAGGCAGAUGGUUUUCUUCGCCAGCUUCUGGCAACCAACCUUGACAAAGAACAUAAGCUAACAGAGAUGGCAUUCUCAGACUCGAAUCAUUCCUCAUCUCUCUCAAUCAGAAUGAAUUAAGCUUUUGAUUUUUUUUAACUAAAUAAUGCAGAACCAUGUGAACAAAAGUUUAAUGCACUGCGAUCAUAGCUCUAACGAACUUGGGUAAUCAGCUGUGGUGCCAUUCCAUAUAGCAGUUGAUAUUUCUAGGAGAGAGUACAAGACACUAUUUUCAUGAUGGUGCAAGAGGAGGUUGCUACAAAUCUGUUCCUUGGUUGCAAUAAUUUCUCUACAUUUCUUACACAAAAAAUUCGAACAGAAAGAAAGGACUCAAUUACAAGAAUCAAGAUUACCUGAUACUGUUUGUUUACGAGAAAAAAUCAACUGGUUGCUUGACAUCCUUCUCUAGUAGUAAAGUCUUCAAUGUGUGCAUGAUAUCAAAGCCUGGGUCCAGCUUGCGUUGCCACCCCUACAGAAAAAUUAUCAUGUAAGCAUAUUGUGUAUCUAUCUAUAAGAAAAUUGGGGUAAAGUUAACAUGGGUAUCUAUAAGAAAAUUGGGGUAAAGUUAACAUGGGCAAGGGCUAUUAAAUUAGUAUGUAGCGUAGAAAACAAAGGUAUAGGUAGCUGAAACUAUAAACUCUGGACAAGUCUACAUUCAAACAGUAAUGCACACCAAAAAUAUCUAGGAAACAUGCUGCCUUAUGCAGUCUCAUAUGAAGUUUGGUCAAAUGAAGUUAAUAUCCACAGUAGGGGUUUCCCUUUCCACCUAUUUGAUUCCUUUUAACAAAAUGAAGUCCAAUAUAAAAAAAAAAGUCCAUGCUAUCUAGAAAAUUAAUGUCUUCUGAUACAGUUAAUAAUCUGUUCAGUUUGUACAUUAUCAUUAAACCUUUCUUCGCAAACAGGAACCUGAUUCUGCAUAUCAUUCAAGUCAAUAGCCUUUUUUCAGUACAUUCGAAUCCCUUCUGCGUAUACUGUCACACAUAAUAGCUAAGAUUCAAUAUUUAAUAUAUCAAUUUUUUUAACAAAGAGGUUUACCUCGAGGACCAAAAUGGUAACCAUUACAGUACAGAUGUUGCCAUCAAUGUUGACUUUGUGGCGGCGAACUGUAUCAAGCAAUUGAUGCAUGCAUUCAACAGGAUGGAAAACGUCCCCUUCAGGUGUACCCCAGAAUGUAAACGUCUUGUCCAGUUCCUAUAAAAAACGAAAAAUAUUUUAUUAUUCAUGCAAAAACAUUUGCACAACAAUUAGUACUGCAAAUCAGUGGUAACAGCAGAAACAGUCAGCAAAUCAAGAUGCAUUCAUCAAAGGCUGGGCUGAAAUAAACAACCAACAAACAAGCAGAGCAUUAAGAGGAACAAAUAUGCACCAUACAAAGCCAGAGCCAGCGUAUUCAAGAAAUGCUGGUGAUCAGUCAAAUUUUGUGUCACCAAAGCCACAUAUCCGACUUCUAGAAACCGUCCCUAUUGUCUACUAUCAUCAUAUAGUUAAAAAUCAUCAUGAACUGUGCUGGGUUUAACAAAAUAGUAUCUGCAUAUGCCAUUGCCAGAUCAAUCAAGAGUGCCACCACCUUUCAAGAUAGCCACAAGUCAAAAAGGCUCAACAAUAAGGUACACGUAGAGCAUUCAGACAUCACAUAAGUAAAAAUAUCAGAUAUAAAUAAGUUCUAAAUGUUUACUGCUCUUUUCCUGAAGCAUAGGUUUACAUUUUACCUCAGUGAAGGCCACUGGAUUUGGACAGCUCUGAUUCUUUGACAACUGAAGGGUACACUUAGCAGCAGUAAGACCAUCUCUAGUAGCCACCGCCUUGAAGAACUGCUGUAAGUUAUCCCGGUCAGCUCGUGUGAGCUCCGCAGUCAUGCCCACGUCAAGAAACACAAUAUGGGGCUUGGCUCUGAAAAAUCUUCUUCUUGAAAGCUUGCUCUCAUUUAAACGGACAAGAAUGUUCCCAGGGUGCAUAUCCGCAUGAAUAAAAUUAUCCUCCUACAGAAUCAGGGGAAACACCUUAUGAACAAAAAAAAUUGCACAAUACAUAGCAUACAUGACUGGACAAAAACACUACCACUAAGUGAAAAGAGAAGGAAUCACAUAAUUAAAAAAAAAUGCACACAUACCAGAAGCAUCUUUAGGAAAGCGUAUGUCCCAAUGUGUGCAAGGUCUUUCUUCAUCCGAGCAUUCCCUUCGAUUUCAUCCAUAAAACGAGAAACACUUUCUCCAUUCUCAAAAGUCUCAACUAGGACAGAUGGAUGCACAAGUGGAUACAAGGGUUUUGGGAAAGAAACAUGUCUCCAUCUGCGGAAGUUGUAUAUAAAACGACUCAAAUGAGCAGCUUCCCUAGAAAGAUCAACUUGAGACAUCAUGAAUACUGCAAACUGGCGAACACUCUCAUCCAGCCUCAGCCAGCUCAAUCCAGGGACGAUAUUAGAAGCCUUAGCCAGAAGAUUGAUGAGUAGAAAGUCUCUCUUGAUUGAUUCUCCAACACCAGGAUGCCUCACCUUAACUGCAACAUGCUUUCCAGGAUGUUGAUGUUUUAGUGUAGCCCGAUGUAUUUGUGCAAUGCUUCCAGAAGCUACAGGGUUCUCAUCAAAGGACUCGAAUAUUUCAGAAAGCUCACGACCGAAUGCCUUCUCAAUGGCAGCCUUGCUGUAAGCAAAGCCAUGCGCUGGAGCUGCACUGUGAAGCUUCGCCAGCUCAACACAGAGAUCGCUUGGAAAAAGAUCAGGGCGUGUUGCAGCCCACUGGCCCCACUUGAUGAAUGCUGGCCCAGCCUUUUCGAGGGUCCGGCGCACAAGGCUAAGCCACCUUCUUCUGAAUGCAACACUGAACUUGUCAGCAAAUGGAGCUAAUGCAGUUGCAGGGAAGAAUAGGAAUGUCAAAUGCACUGCUCUAAUAAGCAAAGUCAUGCCCUCCCAGAUUGACCAAACAAGAGAAGACAGAAACUGGCGAGUGUCUUGUGCCUUUGUGAUGAUUCCAUCCAUUCUCGGCAUGAAGGAUCGUGAGUCUGCCAGGACAGGUGGUGCAAGUGCCAUCUUGCCAAAAGCUAGAGCCAUAACCCCAGGGAUGAUAUGGAACCUCGUAAAGGAUAGGCUAACAGCGCAGGCUGCUCGGCUCAUCAGCGGGAACCGGGGACCACGAUACGAGUACAUAUGACUGAGCCGCUUCCAUGCCAAUUGCGCUUGCUGGGUUGCUGAUGAAUUGGCCACUGCCACAGAGAGUGUGCGGUAGCCUCUGGACAUCCUGGUUCUGCACUUGUGAUCCUCACCUCUGUUCUUUCUAAUAAUGACCUUGUAAUGUGAGAACAUUCUUGAGAAGACAGCUGGAAUCUUUCGCCUCGUUGACAAGCCAUUGUCCCUCACAGCUGUAUAAUACCCACUCCUGUUGCUCGGAUGGGAAUAACUGGCCGCCCGUCUAUUUGUUCCGAUCGCCAAUAGCCUGCUCAACAAUGUGAACAGAAAAUGUCAAGGAACUUGCAAGUUUUCAGGCUUAAAUACCGCUUGGCAGAAAGCUAAUUUUACAAGGUGAAAAUUAAGAACUGAAUAUGUGCACAAAAAGGAAAGAGGCUCGAGAAUGUUUGCUGUUGGCCUGAUCAUACUACUACUAUGCCCAAAAUACAGUAUGAGCUCAGAAUACAGUGUACGUGGUUUUUUGUUUCCCAAAUGCCAGCAAUGUACUCAUCAAAUCCCACAUUGAUUCUCCUGAACAAGAGCAAUCUCUAACUUCAUACAUAAGCUACAUCGUAUGGAUAGAUAAUCACAACAAUUCCAAAAGCUCCAAGUUCCAUGGCUUCACAAGUAAAGGUGGACAGGACAACCAGUAAAUCCAAGCCUACUAGUAUGCACACAUAAAACUUGUCGUGCCUAACUGAAAUUUCCACCUUCAAACAUUACUACCUUCGUGAAUUUGCCAAUUUAAGCUAAAUCAGAAGGCCAAUUGAUCACAACAGUUAGUAAGAUUCAGGGCGCCAGAGCACUGCUACGAAUCAAACAAGCCGCACGCGAACCCUGGGCUACCUUAUACUCAAAAUUAAGCCAGAACGCAGCCGUUUGUAACAAAAUCCGGAACCCCUGGCUAUCCACCUUUAACCCCCCCCCCCCCCCCAACACACACACACCAACUGAAACAGGAGAAACAGGGCACGAACGGAGGAACGAGGAGAAAUCGAGCCGCACCUCUCGCCGACCCCCACCAGCCGUUGCAUCGGGGACGCCUGCUUCUUCUGCCUUCACAGGAUCAAGCCCCCGCAGCCCGCAGAGCAAUACCACCCCUCCCCUCCCCUCCCCUGUCCCCCACCAAAACCCCAGCACGGUCCGGCCCCCGCGCCACGAUGCAGCACCAGCGCACGGGGACGCAGCCGAACCGUACCGAACCUGCUCGGGUGGGGACGACAAGUGGAGGCGGCGCGCGCCGCCGGCGAGAUACGAGAUGCGCCCGUGUCGCGUCGCGUCCCGCUCCUUCUCCCCCGGGUCGGUGGGCGAGAGGCGGAGACGGAGAGUCCUGUUUCCCCUUUUGCGGAAUCGCCUGUGUUUUUUUCUUGUUUAAGGGAGUUUUCUUUUCCGUGCUUUUCUUUUCGGUUUCUUUCUUGGAGAGGAGGGCAUCCACGAGGGUUUAUUCCCCGAUUGCCCGGAAGGCCGGAACCGGAACCAUGUCGGCCACGCGCGGGUCGCGGCUCAGGGGUUGGUGCUUUGGUCUCGGCACGCCGACUUGCUGGUGCAAGGUCAGCCGUGUCGUAUGCAUGCACAGUCGUGUGCCAGCAAAGUUGGAAUUGCCAUCUCGUCUUGUCUCGUAGUGUUAAGCUAUGCGCCCUUCAUUUCAUUCGGAGAACAACGUGUUCGGAUAUGUGAAGUUGUAGCUGCAAAGCAGCGAACUUAACGUGUGCCAAAACUUGAACAGGGAGGGAGAGGUAAAACACAACGAUUGGGAUGUACACAAAGUAAAUGUUCGACGAACUGGAAGAACCUGUGAGUUGUUAGAACUUUCAGCUUGUGCGAGACGACACUUCGUGUCAGGUCGUGUUAAUUUGAGUCUUGGGGCAUAAGUUGAUUUUUCUUUUUUCUCUUGUCUCUCCUUUCUCAGAGCUCAAGUUAGUAUGUGUCGGUGUGGGCUGCUUUUUUUUUUAUAAAGUGGUGUGGGCUGCUUGGUAGCGCGGAGGAAAAAAGAGAGAGAAGAAGGAGCAAACAGAUCCAGCCCAACCUAGGCCUUAAUUUGGAGAACAAGUAGCCCACGGCUCUUCAAGUAAGAGCACCUCUGUUCUGACUCUCUAAGCUAAAAUUUGGUAGUUAAUAAGAAAAUCGUGGUCCAGCAGAGUUACUAUCUGACUCUCCAUUCUAUCCAACUUGCCAAACUUUCCCUCACACUUGCCAAAGUAUGGGUCCCACGCGCAGUAAUUGCCAGAAUGGAAAGUGCAAAAUGGAGAGAAUGCUGUAGUGCGAAAUGGAGAGACUAUUGGAGUGGAUGGAGAGUAUAUAUUUUUAGAGAGGAAACUAGAUGUUAGGAUUUGGAGAGCGGGAAAUGGAUAAUCUGUUGGAAGGAGCAACUCAGUAUAGAGAGGAAUCUUUUUACCAACUUGGACAAAAAGUUAAGUGGAGAGUUAAAAAAUGGGUUGUCGGGUAGAGAUGCUCUAACGCAUGGGCUAUAACAGUUGGCCUAGCCCAUAAUAAGUCCACCAAGUCUCAAAUGUCGUAUGGCACCCGGUAGGACUAGCAGAGACGGUAUCAUGAUAAAUACCCUGACUGUGAUGAGAUGAAAAGUUUCGUAGCUCCAUGUUGAAAAUUGUAAAUUUGAGCAGAAGUUGAAAAUGACAUGCAAAAGUGUGAAAACUUUUGCGUUGGAAGUCUGAAUUAUACUCUUGCGCUGUAAGUGUGAAAUUCCCGAGUGCAAACUUCUGAACUUUUGGCAAAAAGGUUGACUUUUGUUUUGGCUGAAAAAUUUAGUGCCUACCCGACUCCUUACAGCCACGAAACUGUCGGGGGCGCACGUGCGUCAAAUUAGCAUUUUCUCUCUCCAGCUCCAGGUGUUUGGAAUGUUUUGAACAACUUGCAUUGGUUUUUCAUCAACUAGAGGAUUCCAGUGCAUGCUUGCAUGGCUUUCUCGAACUAGCUUUCCAUGGUUUGUUAACAGAGUUUGCCGAGUCAUGCAUGGUUACAUUUUUUUGGUAAUGGAAUAUGAACACUCCGUCCUCUGUAUCUUGGAGAUACAUGCAUGCAGCUGUACACUCAUGAUUACCUUGCGCAUUCUAAUUUGAGUCUCUCCCUUAGUCGUCUCUUAUGUGGCAUGUGCCAAUCCCUUUCUCUCUUUUGAAGCGGAAAGAAAGGCGGAAUCGUAAAGGCGUGACGGAAAGAAAAAAAUCAUGUCCGCACCAAAAGGCUAUGCAACUGUACACAGCACACUAUUCUGUCACCUCCUUUUCCAAGAUUCCCACUAGCUUGAGUGCUUGACAAGUCUUCGCCCUCUUGAAAACUAUGGCCCCGUUUUCUUCCACUGACUUAUUUUUAGCACCCGUCACAUCGAAUGUUUAGAUACUAAUUAGGAGUAUUAAACGUAGACUAUUUACAAAACCCAUUACAUAAGACGAAUCUAAACGGCGAGACGAAUCUAUUAAGCCUAAUUAGUCCAUGAUUUGACAAUGUGUCAAUAUAACCGAUCAGAAUGUUGGUGACAGGCUCGGCNNNNNNNNNNNNNNNNNNNNNNNNNNNNNNNNNNNNNNNNNNNNNNNNNNNNNNNNNNNNNNNNNNNNNNNNNNNNNNNNNNNNNNNNNNNNNNNNNNNNCCUGUUCCUGUUACUAAGUUUGAGCUAUGCUCGAGCUUAGUUGGUUUAAUCGCAUAGUACAAUAGACAAUGGUGGACACACUAGGUUUAAUUAUGCUUAAUAGAUUCAUCUCGCAGGUUAAGAUUCCACUUAUGUAAUUGGUUCUGUAAAUAGUCUACGUUUACUACUCCUAAUUAGUAUCUAAACAUUCGAUGUGACACGUGCUAAAAAUAAGACACGGGAAGAAAACGCCCCCAUAGCUCGAUCCAGCCUCCAGGAACACCAGGAGACCGCCAUCAUCUGCCUGACAAAAGCGUAGCCAUGGACGCAUAUAUAUGCAGCGAAGAAUCAAACGUGCUGCUGCUGGUGCAGCUGCAUUGUGGCCUCGUUUGACCACAAGGCCCACAGUGCCAUUUUGAGCGAGCGAUCGACGUCGGGGCCUGUUCUUUUCAGCUUAUAAGCCGGCUGAAAAGCUGAAACGACUGAUUUCUUGUGAGAGAAAAAUACUGUUUGGUGGUUGAGUUGAUAAACCGACUGAAUAAGCUGAAGCGAACAGACCCGAGGCUGCUUCUUUCGUCGUUAUCAUGUGCAGAGUGUUUCAAAGUUUCAAAAAAAAAAUAAUGUGCAGAGUGUUUUCAGAUUUGCACCAAGGUCGAAAAGGCGUUUUCUGUAGCGUUCCUCGCUUGCACGCAUCGCACGUGCCACGCGUAUUGGCAGUUUGUCACACAGUACGUCGACAGCCAAUGCAAUAGGCAUGGGCAUAUGGCAGCACAGCUGCCUUUCCGGCCGCCAAGGACAGACAGAGAAUAGUUUGAAGAAUAAAGUGUGUGUUCUCUUGAUCUCUUCAAUUUCGACGUGACAGUCGAGCAUAUUUUUUUUCUUUCGAAAGACGACACUCGAGAGCAUAUGAACCUACAGAGUUCGUUCCAACAAAGUUCCUAGUGGUAAUAAGGUAUGAACCCCUGUCCUAUGCAGUACGAAUUCUCAUGUUCCCUACCUAAAUUCCUAGUGAAGCACAUCUUGCUAUGUGUGGGAUGCAUGGCCGCGUCGGUCAAUGAUUCCACUGCUUCGAGCAACCUCUCCCGCGCGAUCUUCAUGCAUGCACGCUUCACGCGUAGCAGCACUACGUGGUCAGCCUAGUACUAGCUAUUAGUAGCACCAACACUCGGGAUGCACGUGCUACAGGUCCGACUAGCUAGGCCGGUCCGGUCACAACGAAAAGCGAAAGGAUAUUUGAGCGCCAUGCCGCGAUAGAGGACAGACAAAACGGAACUUUUGGUUUGGUACCCCCGGUCCCCCGGGUCGGGACGUCGUGUGGCCCGGGAGGCCGCGUGGCUUUCACCCCGUGCGAGACAGGGCACGGGUCACGGAUCCCCGCGGCCGUUUCCGUGGUCGGCGGGGGGCCUGGAAACGGGGGGCCGCGCGGAUCGCCCACAGGUCAAAAACGCCACCGCCUGGGCGGCAAGAGCGGCGCUACUACGCGCUGCUGUCACACACGCCCGCGGUGAACUCGCACCGUGACCGAGCCGUAGCGUAUUUACUCCCGGGAAAGCGACGCGCGGCCCCCCUCCGUAGCAUCCUUCCUCGAUCAGUCCUGAUCCCGAUCGAGUGCUAGCGCCGCGCCGCCUGCCUCCCGCAGUUUCUUCUGCUCCUCCCUGUCUGCUCUCCGGCCGGGCCGGCCCGCAGGUCAAACCGCGCAGAGCGGGCGCAGCCCGCAGGCACGUACAGCGACGUAUGGGGCGCGGCUGCACGCUGCUAGCUGGUGGAUGGUAGCCCUACAAGGCCGCGCCGAGAGGGGACGGACGCCGGCGGGACCGGCUCGUGCAGAUCGCUUUCGGGCCACCUAUGCGCGCGUGUCGCCGUGGUCCUGGCCCGAAUUCGGAGCCUGCGCUGCGCGUUUCUGCGGCAGGGAGGGGUUUCGUCGAGGCGAGCUGGCCGAGCGCUGUACAGGCGCACAAGUGUACAAACACUACAGCUCCGGUCAAACCAACUGUUUGUAGUGCGUAGACGUAACGUGGAGAACGGAGCGUACGGGCGACUGGUGCCGUCUUGCGUACGUACGUGUGCCGUCAUGCUUACAUGCAGUAGAGUAGUCGUGAUGGUCCCGUGCAUGGGUAUACAUAAAUGCGCGAUUCAAGCCGUCCUUCCAUGCAUGUACAUGUACUGAUGUACACGGCCGAGCGGCCGGCCGUCCUAUCACCAGAUCUCCCUUCCCUCUACGUGCGCUAUCGAGGUCGAACGGACGAUCACCUCGGCAAGUACGUGUGGCACGUACCUCCUUGGUUUCAAAGAGAAGCGUGUCACAUACUUUGACAUGAUUGGAUGAACGUCGUCGCGCACAAUUGCCCCCGAUCAUGACCGUCGCCAUCUAUCACCAUCAGGCGGCGGCGAAUUGAAGCAGCAGGUAAUAAGGGGAGAGUUUUCGUGGUAAUUCUGUAGUACCACUCCGUCUGGACGAUUCAUUCAAACAGCUGUAACUAGCACACGCCGUGCCUUGGCUAGCGGAGUAGUACUACGCCCACAGAAACUGCACGACGCGACGCCGCGGGCGGCGGCGAAGCGAUCGAGGUGAUGUAUGAGCCUAUGAGGCGCCGGCCCGUACGUCGUCCAUCCGUGUCGACCCGAUGGGGGGAAGUCAGCCGCGUAUAUGAUUGGCAGAUUGGGGCCGGGGGAGGCGACAGCGACGGCCGAGGCCGCGCGCGGAGGUGGCAGCCCACGCGUCCCCGCCGAGGCGCGCCGGACGGCCGCGACGCGACGAAACCGGCCAGCCACGCCACCGCGCGGCGACGGAGCAUGCCGCGAUCGCGACGGUCGCGCGGGCCCGUACGCACGCACACAGACCGCGACGGCGGUGAGAGGACCGCGCAUCGCUGCACGUACACACCCCUAUCGCCGGCGCCGGAACGGAUGCAUGCGGCGGGCGUACCACUACGGCGACCUCACAGCAGGAACGCUACUUUGUUCUCUCGCUCCGCCGGCCGUGCGUGUGGCUAGCGGCUGCCCGGCCUGCUGCUCGAUCCUUUUUCUACACGUGAGCGACGUGACACGGUCUCGGCCUCUCGGGUCGAAACGAUCCACUAGUACGAACGGAGUACCGAGUACGUACACCCCUCUGGCAACAGCAGUCCGCCGGCAUCCACACGUCGAUUUGUACCCUCUUGCGCACUGACACACGUCAUGCUGCACCAAUUCCAAGCUUUUUACUUUCUCUCGGAUUUCACAUUUUCACUCUCCCUCGCUAGCAUCCUUAUCCCUCAAUCACAACUUUAUCAUUACGCUUUAUUUUGUCCUCUAGUUACAGCUUUUGGUGCAUACCCAGUCACUGGACUUGACCAACCUAUAUCAUAAAUGUUAUAAAAACACGUGACAAUUAGAGGUAAGGUGGUCAACCAGCUAGUUACUGUAGCUAGUAGUAACACGUAACUGAAUUAACUCCACACUGAUGACACUAUUUGUUAUAAUCAUUAGUAUUGAUCAAACUCAUAUUCACGGACCAGGCCUCGCUCUAGCGAGUACCCUCUCUGUCCCAAAUUAUUAUUUAUUUUAUUUUUUAAGAUAUUUAUUAUGUACCUAAAUAUAUAAAUUUUUAAGAAAAAUUAAAAUGGAUAGUAAUUUAGGAUGGAAGAAAUACUAAUCAUAUAUAGAAACCCUACAAUGCUACAAUAGGCAUAGUUGCCACGUCAAUUUGCUUCCUAUUUUUUUCUCCAUUUUUAUUUACAGGACAUCCUUCGUUUCAUUAUUAGGACAAACCUUUGACACAUAACUACUCUAUUAAUAAUUUAUUUAUGUUAUAUAAAAAGUAUAAUAUUUAGAAAGUAUUUUUAAUACAAAUCUAAUGACAGUAACAUUGUGUAUUAAUAGAUUAAUUGUUGGUCAAAAGCUUAUUCUAACUAAAUGAAAGAAGGGGUAUAAUUUGCAAAAAAUGGAGCUGUUAAUAUAAGAAAGAAGAAGUCUAGCUCAUGGUACCUAAGAGGCCAAGAUGUUCCACUUUUUUUUUUGAAGGGCAAACAAGAUGUUCCACAUUGAUGCAUGUGAAUACAGGCCUCUAGAAGGGUACUGAUAAUUGCUCGUAGUAGUACAUACGUGAGAAGACUCCACGUCAAUGUGCAGUUCAAGACGAGGUCAUGGCGGCUGCAUUCGUCGCGGAUUUAAUCAAAGGGGAAAUCUUAUUAGCUGCGAUAAUAAGCUUGUUUAUACGUACACGAUUACGUGCAUGCAUGCAAACGUUGACUUUCCGUUUGUAGAUACCGUCCAAGAGACAAAAUGAAUGUAUCGAUCAGAGGUCAGUUGCGGUGUGCCACUUCCGAUACACACUUGGUAUCAGAAGAUUGGCCGUAGUACAUCUAGCUAGCUACUGUAUGUGCCGCGCGUAGGCACAUGCAAGAUUGCAAGUCGUGUCAAAAUGAGCCAUCCAUUACCUGGUGAACAUAGCCACACAAUAUUCUACACAAAUAUCAAGCUCGAUCCGACUUGAAAAGUAAUAAUGUGUCCAUCGAUGGAAAUUUACUUGACUUGUCACAAAACCCAACAGGAGUCCAACAUAUAUAGUUUAUAUUUUGUCAGCAGUUGAUCGAUGCAAUUGUACGCCGCUCAUCAGAGGGAGCAGGCAAGCAUCCGCAAUCAUUAAGUUACGUUGCACACCACACCAGUGCUAGCUAGUGAUCUGUUUUUCUCAACCAUUUUAAAGAAUUAUUGCCUAUAUCAUGUGACUAUGACAGUUACUGGUGUCCUUAUUCAAGCUUAUUUCCCCGUCCUUUUUUGAUGAUUUUCUCUCCUUUUUUUAUAUUCGCGCCACACAGGGCCCCCAAUCACACAGUGACACAAGGAACCAAAGAAAGCAAGGGUGAAUAAACUAGUAGCAUUCUAAGAAAAGCAACCCUAAUUUUUCUUCGCUGGGGACAAGGCGGUGAUGCGAGCGAGAGCGACAGCGGCCGCCUCCACCAAUCAUGCGAGGACACCUUCGCCGUGGUUCCCCACACUGACACGCACCACACGUCCAAUUGAAACGACGAGAAUUACAGUGAGCCGAGAGAAAGAAAUUCAAGGGAACUGAAGCUUCUAACUGUAACCACAUGAACGAACUGGCACAAAGGAGGUGCAACAAUAAUCCUGUACAAAAAUGCGUCCCUGAUGAUGACAUAGAUUUCGAUGCGUUCGCUCCUUGCGGUGGUACGAGAUGAAGUGUUGGACUUGGACCUAGCUUCCACGGAUCGUCGGGUCCCGUGGGAUUUUCUGGGUGUGUUACAUGUAGUCGCUCACAUCGAGGAGCUCCGACAGCUGCAUGCUGAACAGCGCGGCGGCGUCGCUGCUGGCGCUCGCGCCGCCGCCGUACGUCGUGGCGGUGGAGGCGGCGGAGUGAUUCAACCCGGCCGCCACGGGGCUGGACGACGGUGUGGACACGCCGGAGCCGACGUUGUUGUUGUUGCUGCUCGUCACCGUGCUGCUCCACUGCUGCAGGUUCGACGCGUCGGGCUGGACCAUUUGCAUCAGCGCCGGGACGUCCAGGCCGUCCACGUAGCCGGACGGUGGCGCCUGCAUGCUAUUGCAGGCGGCCGCGGCCAUGUCCUGGUGCUGUUGCUGUUGCGCGGCGGCCGCCAGCUGCUGCUGCUGCACCAUCGGGUUCGCGUGGACCAGGUCCGGCAUUUGGCACGCGGCUCCGGCCUGCUGCUGCUGCUGCGACAUGAACUGAUGGUCGGCCUGCUGCGGCAGCGCCAUGGCGGCCGCCUGCGCCAUCUGCGCCUGCAGCAGCCACGGCAGAAGCUGCUGCUGGUCGCCGAUCGCGGCGGGCGCGGCCGCCGAGCCCGACGAGAGCAGGGUGGAGGCGAGGCGGAGGAGGUCCGGGUAGCUGGCGAGCGGCUCGAAGGCGCGGAGCGCGUCGAGGUCGGCCUGCGUGGGGUAGUAUGCGGCGGGCUUGAGGAGCGCGGAGAGGUCGAGGAGGUCGAGGCGCGGGGCGUGGGUGACGGGGUCGAUGCCCAUGCGGAGCAGGCGCUUGCGGAUGUGCGUGUUCCAGUAGUUCUUGAUCUCGUUGUCCGUCCGCCCGGGCAGCCGCGCCGCGAUCGCUGACCACCUGACCAGCAGCCAAUCAUGCACCCAUCCAUCAGAAACCGUACUAGUACGCCUACCUACUACUACUGCUAGUACGUAGUAGUAGAGCAGAAACAGCGAAGCUAUGCCAGCUAGUAGCUGUCGAUGCGAGGAGGAAAAAAAAUCACUUGAUUGUGAUGCUUACUUGUUGCCGAGGAUGCUGUGGAGCUGGAUGAUGGUCUCCUCCUCCUCGAAGGAGAAGCGGCCGCGCUUGAUGUCCGGCCUCAGGUAGUUGGUCCACCGCAGCCGGCAGCUCUUCCCGCACCGCGCGAGCCCUGCCACGACAAGGAUCAACCAAGCGAGGUGAGCAUAUAUACAAAAUUAAACCGAGUCCGGCCAGCAUGUACGGCGAUCGGUCGGGGCGCUCACCAGCAUUCUUGGGGAGGGUGCGCCAGUUGCCCUGGCCGUGCUUCUUGAUGUAGGCGACGAGCUUCUCGUCCUCCUCCGGCGUCCACGGCCCCUUCUUCAGCCCGCUCUUCUCGCAGCACGGCGCGCGCCCCAUGGAUCGAUCGACCGGCCGCUACCUCGGGAGGACGACGACGACGCAGCUCGUGUGGAAGGGCGGGGGAGCGAGGGAAAAGGCCCGGUUUGUCUCGCAGCUAGCUGUAGCCGCGCGCAGCAGAUGGAGGAGAGCGAGAACAGGACGGACAGGCCGGGAGAGCGUCGUCCAGCUACAGGGGUGUGAAAUGAAACUGAGGAAGCAGACAGGAGAUCCGAGUAGGGGGUGGGGGCGGGGGGAUGGCUUAUAAAGGGCGCGAGGGCGACGGGGACCGGGCGUGGGAAGUCAACAGGAUUCGGUGCCGGCCUUUGUGCUUAGCGCCCGCGACGUGGCUGCCAGCCGCGCCCCCCGGGCCACGGCCUUCGGAGGAGCGGGGCCGCAGAACAGCGGCUCAGCUUCCGUUCGGCGGGCACCAGGAGACGGCCAGACGGGAGGAUGCAUCCACCCAUCCGUCCGUCGAUCGGGUGAAAAAAGUUGCUGGAGCACACGCAGGGGCAUCGCCCUCCGCCCCUCCCGGUCCCGGUCCCGAAAAGUAACCGCUGGCGCUGCCCGUACCAGGCAGCUGUGCCACCGGCCCACCGCAGGUCCAGCGCUAGCUAGCCGAGCGUUCUGAGCAAGAGCGUCAGCUCCCAGAAGGCAAGGAACACCAGUGGAGCAGAACAGAACAGAACGACCCUACCAUACGACGGCACGGCUAAUCGGCUCCAUGCAUGGGCACAAUCUCGCUUCGAGCCUAUCGACCCGAAGCUCACAGAAUCUCCUUUUUACUGCUGGAUCGAUAGGAGAAGAUUACCGACCAGGCUUGUUACCGCACACGCACAGGACUGUAACCGUGCUGCCAAAUUUGUUGGGUAUGUCAGCCCCGUUUAAAAUAUCUAUUUUUUAGCUUUGUCAGAAAAAAUAUCUGUUUUUCUCCCUGUUCUUGUUGGUUAUGUUACGUGAUCUUUCUCAAAAGUCAUGCAACGUAACGCUGCUAAAUGGAACUUUGCUGUGGAAAAUGUCAAUGUAAUGGAUGGAUGUCAAGGCCAGUGAUUCGGACCGUGUUGGCCAUCCAAGAAAUGGCAACUACCUUUCUGAAAAAUCAUAAUUGAUUAUAAAACCACAAAUUUGUAUUCGAAAUGGUUUCAUGUGAGAUUGGUUGAUUUUAAAUUUCUGUUUACAAGCAGUCAUGUUUUCUCCCACAGGGUCUGUAUAUAAGAACUGCUGGCACCCCUAAAUAAGCAACAACUAAAACUAAUAAUAAAUGAUACCCUAGAAACUAACAAAACGGAUGGUGGGUGCGGUGGGUUCGAUAUUUAUGAUCUCUUUUUGGCAUAACCUUGAUGGGACUUAAUCGCGGAGAAAGUAGAGAACAAGUAUAUGGAACCUAAAGUAGUGGUUGAGAAAUGUUCAAAAAUAGAUUGGUCUCCUUUUGCCAUCAGCACGCACUUUUUGCGUGGGCCUGUAUAUGUGUGUGUGAACUCAAUUGAAGAAACUAUUUUAGUAAAAAGAAAAUUUUGAAAUGACUACCUAUUGGUACUUGUUGCUCCCUAAUAAAGGAGGUUACACACCAGCAAGAAGCAGUUCCAUAUUCCCCAAUUCAACUACCAUAUUGGAAGAAUUGGUGAAAAAAAUAGUGCGACAACACUCCCUUUACCUUUACCUUUUUCCCAAUAACUAUCGGGACAAACCAAUAAUUCACCCCAACUCUCCCCAGAUAAAGGAGAGUUGUGACUCUCUCAAUAUGGUAGUAUGAUUGGGAUGUGAUUAUUGGGAGACUACAAAAGCAACUCUCCCAAUAACAAUGAAAGUGAUAUUGGGACAUCCCCAUUAACUAGUAAUUGGGAAACAUUUAUUAGGGAACUGCUGGAGAUGCUCUUAAGUCCCCCAUUAAAAAAGAAGAAUUUCCGCACCAUAUAUCAAGAUAGAUUUCCAUCGGUUAGUUUAAGAAAAAAUAAACUUUUGCAUCCUUUUCAUCGGUACUUAGUCAAAACAAAAGUCCUUUUUAUUAUAUAAUAUUAAUAAAAUUAUAGUCACAUUUUAGUAUGGAAAAAUGACCCAAUCUCCAGUUAAGAGCCUUGAAGGAGCCUUAGGAAGAAUGAGUCUCUCCAACCUUAUCUGAGGGAAAAGCCGGCCGAUGGGUUCUAAUCCAAAUUGACCCUUGUUAUAUACUUGGGGGUGGAGGCAGCAUAUCUCCUCUUGGAAAAUUGCCAAAGGGUCCCCAUAUCUCCAUGAAAAUUACCAACAUAUUGAAUUUUAGAACUUUGCAUUAGAGGCCACCGUCACGUUCUGUCCUAACUAGUAAGCGAUGUACAUUGACCAAGAGGUCGAGAUCCCCACUCCAAAUGGUGAACAUGAGUUGAUAGGAAUCAUGUACACUAGUAUUGGUUGACCAUGACAAUAUUGAUAUCAUGGCAGGUCGAUACUCAAUAACGUUAUACGGUGGCAAUACCAGCAGUGGGUCGUACCGAACUGCUUUGAAGGGGUACCUCUGCAAAGAUGCACCUCUAACUAUAAUUUGAAAUGGAGCGGGUAACUUCUAAUUCCGGGCCAAAACAAAAUGAGCAAGUAGGGGAGAGAAAAAGCAGCCAAUAAACACUAUAUAGCCUGAAAAGACACAACAUGAUUAAAGGCGGUUAAGAUCAAAUUUCGCACAGGUGCUCCAAGCAAACGACAAGGAUCCGGGACCGUUCCCUUGGCCCCGUGCGCCUGUGUGCCUUUUCCCCUCUCCGCAUCACCUGGCGUUGACGGGCUCUGGGGCGCCUGCCACCUUGGACGGCUGACGGCACGGGGCAGCGCUGGCCCCCACGCGCCCGCGCCCGUACCCAGCCAAAUAGCCAAUCCCCCCUCGCGAAACCUGCGCGCAGGCCGCAGGGCAUGCAUGCAUGGCUCGCGCUGCCGGCUGCCCCCCGCUGCGCCCAUGGCAGCGGCGGAGCCUGGCCUGCCCGGGCCCGCCCUGCCCGCCUUUAAUUCCUGCAGCGAGCUGCCAGCGUGGCAGGCACUGCCGCCCGGCCGACCAAACGUCCCAGCGCCGUACCCGUACGCCAGCCACCGCCACGUACCCUGCCCGCGCCGUGAACAGGAUCUCCCAGAAAAAUGGGCACGCGAAGCCCGUUUCACUAUGUUUCAAAAAAGAAACCCGUUUCACCCAGCGCGCGCGCGCUAGCCACAAGGCUCCGCGCGGCUCGUCUCCACCAUCCUCGUGUUGGUAGCUCCGACCCUCCCAAAAGUUUUGAGCAUCGAAAUAAACCACCGGGGAUCGUCGACGACGACCGUGAGCGCGCGGCGGCCAGCGCGAUCCGCCGAGACGGGUACGUGUUCCGGUUGAAAAGUUGCCGUGAUCCGGCCUCGCUCGUGCGCGGCGUGCGUGUCUCGCCGUGCGCGGCAGGGCGCGAGAGGCUCCUUCACCAAAAGAUAAUAUUUGUUAGUUAAAAGCGGGAAUCCAAAAUGUCAAAAAGUUUGCCCGAGUAAAUAAAGCUGAGGCGUAAAGGGACGUGACAGCGACCAGAGAGGGAAGGCAAAAGGCAACCGAGAGAGAGGAAAAUCCCAUCCAAAUGUACACGUCGUGAACGAUUAGCGUGCCAAUGUAAAGUGAUGUUUUUACCGCGACAAUAUUAUAUGUUUCGAAUGUAAUCAAUCCGUGGUGGAUAGCGCCCACUUGUUAAUUAACUCGGUGAAAACUAAGUCUUUUUUAGCUACAAGUCAUGUUCGGAAGAAGAAGACAACUACUACUGUUUACCGCGGAAUUUCUACGGAGUUACUGUGAGCCUGUGACACGAACCGCCUUAGCUGCACGCACCAAAACUCUGUGAUAAGCACCGUUCCACAGCGACGCGUGUCCCGGCAGCCUCCGGUGUCUAUGUCAGUUGACUUUGAGGCGAGAAGAUCACAAUAAUUGCUUGGCAUAAAGACACGUCCACUUGUACAAGCCAGUACAUGCGGUAUGUUUCAAUAUUCGAUUAAGGUUUUGACCGUUCAAUGCGCGCACACACCCCUCCCCGGACGAAAUUAAAAGAAAAAUUAAACUAGACACGGAUGACUGGGACACUUGCACUUUACUGGUAAACUAACACGUUACAGAACGAAAUUGCCUUGUUAUAUUAGUUAAUUUGGAUGGCUGGCCUAUAGGGAAUAGUAAGACUAUUUCAAAGAUGAAAAAGGACUGCAAAAUUUUGCAAAUGUCAGCAGAACAGCAGAAAAAAGGACUGCAAGCUGAAAGAUCAGUACGUAGCAAAAUUAUUCUAGAAGCUAGCCUCUUGGGAAAUUUUAAGCUAAGUGGGAAAAGCACGUCAUAAAAGGGGGAGCGUGAGUUGCUGCAAUAUUAUUUAACUAUUUGUUAAUAAGCUUGCAUGUUACGGUUUUCAUGUAGCUGACUGGUAAUACAAUCAUCUGAAAAUGGAUGGCCAAACUAUGUGAGAUUGGAGAUUCAACCUGCGGCCUCCACAAUUCUAGGCAUUGGCUUUUGCUGCUAAUAGGGGGAACAAUUUGUAUGCUAGUGCAGUGUGUGCGUUUGGACGAUUGUUAUAUCAGAAAGAAGAAAGAAAAUAGCAUCAGUAGUAGCUAUUAGUAGAUGUACCCUAGGUCAGCAUUCCUGAAACAGGAUGGAGAGGGAAGGUGGAAAGGAUACAAAGAGUGUAGCUUAAGAAACAGUGAUGUAUCCAAGAGGGAGACAGGGUCGGGGGAGACGAGAAGAUCUCAUCCACUUCCAUCAAACGUGCAACUAAAGGAGUCAAAUCACAUCGAAUGCUUGUAAUGGCAGUUUUGGGCUAAUUGACUUGGUCAUCCAACCAGCAGGCACCUGAACGCCACUCCCUAAUUUAGCUUAGCCACCAACUAAGCACCCGUAUUAGUUUAAGGAAGUGGCUGCUAAGUCCAGAUUAGGCAACCGCAAGUUCUCAAGUUGCUCCACUAACGGUACGGAUUCACACUAUUUUCCCGUCGACUCUUUCGAAGCUCAUCAUUAUGGGAAGGAACAUCAUCUCAUGAAAAGAACCUUGCAUCUACUUGGACUGUAGCUGUUUAGACCACUUGAGUCUCGUCCUUCUCGAAUUCAUGGAGGAACGAAAAGAUAUUUCAUGUGAUAUACUAUGAAGUAUUCUGUAUUCCCUGUCACUGUUUCAGUCAAGUGAGCUUCCUGUACGUAGAUGCUGCUGGUCUUUAAGAGACAGUAUUAGACUUCUAGAGAACCUAAUUAAAGGUGCAUCGCAUCGAUUUCUGAUUCAUUGGUUAAUUGGUGUCUCUGCAAAUGAAAUGACACGUAAAAUGAGAAAUGACACGUAAAAAGUUUUGCACGACAUUGCAGUAAGAAGGAAGGAAAGGAAAACAGAAGGGCCGACGCGCGAAUCCUAGCUCGAUCGAUGCACGUUCUUCCGUGUACCCGCCGAUUCAACUAUUCAAGCACGAAAUGCCAGGAAGACAUUAAAAAGAAUUAACUCGAUCAAGAAAAGCUAGCAAAUGUGCGCAGCAACUGCUCACGAGAUGAAUUCUCAUUUGACAACGUUCCAUUCGCAUGUAACGUAACUGAUCACGCAGCGCGGCAAAUGUGCGCAGCCACACACAUCGCUGGCGCGCGGCAAUCUUAUUUCACAAGGUCAAGUCUUGCUGAGCUCAACAGUACGUGCCGAUCCAACGAAUUCGGAGGAAAUUCAGCUGGUGGGGCUAGAUUAGCCGACGCCAUAUUGACAGUGCCUCGUGCCGCCCCCUGCACACACGUGUGAAGCUCCAGCACGCGAUGCGUGCGGACGCGUCCAACCUGCAGCUGAUCAUCUCGAUCGCGCAUAUUAUUCUUACAGCGCAUUCUUACUUACUUUAAUUCGGGCCGUACACGGGCCGCAAUUAAACUAAGGCAAAUUUAAAUUCAUUUCGACGGUUUCAGUGAGAUCAUCACACACACGACUGGUGAUCUCCUGUAACUUCCAGUGAUCAGUAUAGAAUAAUACACACACCGGCAUGCAUACACACAUACACGUAUUGAUAUAUACAUACACAAAUACUACUAUAUACGUACAGUUAGUAAAAUACCCUAGCUAUGUACUAGGUAUAUCGUAGCUAGAUUACGAUAAGUUUCAACAUCCCAGCAAGAUAAACCGGGCUAGAUUUGGAAGUAACCUUUUAAAUAGUGCCCCCAUGUCUCUCGGCAAGGAGACACCCGCCAUCUUCCAAGCACUGUCCAAAUUAUAUGAAGCUAGCACACACGCAGCCCAAAUUAACUAUGGUUUCGUCAAAGACAACAGCAAUUGUUAUCUUCCUACGUGGCGCUUCCCAAGUGUUCCCUGGCGUAUGGUUGCCCAAACUUAGUAUACACCUGUUACUUGUUAUAUACUCCUUCCGUCCCAAAUUACUGUUCGUUUUGAUUUUUCUAGAUGCAUAACUUUUGAUAUGCACGUACAUAGCAAAAAUAAUGUACCUAGAAAAUCUAAUAUUAAUAUUAAUUUGGGAUGGAGGGAGUAUAUAAUAUGUUUAUAUAUUUAUAUAUAUGCAUAUGCUUGCAUCGGCGGUUUGACCACCCCUACCAUACAUGCGUACGCGAGCAGCGAGAGCGAGACACGAGAGUUGUUACGAAUAGACGCGACAUGCACACGCACCACCAGCCUACGUGUCCCGGAGCUCCCCAAUAAUCUAGUGGCGAGCAUAUGCUGCCCCGGCCCUGAUCCGCGCAUUAGUUGGGCGAUUAUUCGCGUGAUCUGCCGUGAGGUCACCGGUCGCGCCUGCUUCAUCCAAACGUUGACGUUUAUACUAUUAUACACGUACACCCGCCGGAUUAAUUAUUAACUUGGCCGGGUUUAAUUUUCUUUGCUUCUUUUGGGCCGUGCUUUAGUUUAAUCGUCUCGGGCCUUUGCUUGGAUGAUUAUUCUAGAGGGGGAAAAGUACCAGGAAUGGUUUGAAAAUUUGGGUGUAGACAUCUUCGUGUGAUCUUGUCGUGAGUGACUCGGCGAGUCAAGGCGCUGCGCUGCUAGCUGAUGCUGUGGUCUACGGAGCGGAUCGCCCUGUAGAUACUAUAUAUAGAGUAAUGGAAAGUGUCGAGCGGCAACGACGUGCUCUGACUUUGCUGUAAUUUGACACUUGGGUGGUGUUCGUGCCCUUUUGUGGGUAACACCGUACCUGUGAUCGAUGGUCGUGUGACGUGUAUGGAUCAGGACUACUGCCACCGGGAUUGAAGGGGCCGGCCGGAAUGAAGUCACAUGCAAUGGAUCAAGGUAAAAUACUAAACAAGUACGUACACACGACGUAGCUUAUCCAAUAAUCUACACCUCUCUGCUGGGACGACCCUGCUGGAACAUUCAUCUGCUGAUGAUUAGGCAUGCAUGACGAAGGUCUUAAUGUAGGAUCGGAGUAACAGCUGUGUCCACCUCUAAUCCGGAUUCUUUUAUGCAUGUUUUGGUGUUUUCGAAUUGCAGCCGUUCAUUACAUGGCCUCAGUUUUUAAAAUUUUUUGCCCCCGCUCAGAUGAUCAUGUCAUCAUGUGGCCUGUGGCCAGAACGCUCGAUCGAGGUGUACAUGUACGCCGACGAUGAGGUGUCCAGUUAGCAGCAACAACCUUUGAAUUGAAACCGCACAAGACGCACCGUACCUGUUCUCGCUCUCACUCUGCUUGCGUUUGCUGAUCGAUGUCGUCGCGUUGCACACAUCACGAGCCCUAAAAAACAAUGCCCAGAUAUGGGGGCCUGGGAACGACGCGCCUGUGGCUGUGUGCCGCUGUGACCUGGACACGAUCCUCUCCCAUCUCCGAUCCCUUCAUUGCCCGGAGUUAGCAGGAGUAGAUGGCUGGAGACCAUUAUGGUUUCGCCCCGUCACCACUUGCAUGGCCCAUGCACACGCCAGGGCACGUACUUGCUCCGAUCCCGCCAUUUCUUUAUGCUCCAUCAUGUGGCUCGAAAUGGCAAGAACGAUCGAUCCGGCGAGCAGUGUGUAUCUUAUGUGGUAUUAUUGACAUCUGGAUCAGGAAUAGUUGGUGGCACGGACAGCACACUUGCUGCCAGGUCCUUGAUUUCUUCCAUGCUCUCCGUCCGGCGGCGGCGGCAUCAUCAGAAGCUUCACGAUGAGCUCCCCCAAAAAAAAAGGAAAAAGAAAUGGUCGGUUCUGUGACUGGAAAUGCACGCGGCUGAGAAGACAGAGAACGAUGUCUCUUCACGAUUUGGAAUUGUAUAUUCAGCGGUUUGACAUCUGUUUUCGGCGGUUCAUACACUGAUGAUAUGACGGUUUGGUUGGUCGUCCCUGAAAGCUCGCAGCUGAUCUUGCUCUUGCCAGCUCGGAGUAGAUCUGUAGAUGACAUGAUUUGUUGUGUUCUUCCAGAAGACGUCGCGUGUUUAACUGAGUUUCUAAGACAAAACUCACCCAGGACGCAACAAAUGGACUGUAGUUUAGCACACAAAUAUCAGAGCCAUAUAUCUCACUUGGAUAAAACAAAUUAGAAGUUUUUUGACACCGUUUCAUCAGUUUCCGCUGUUAUCUGAAAUAAACGACUCUGAAUUGAAUCCGGGUUCAUUGGUCCACCUGUACAUGAAGAACAUGUGAUUUCCGUUCGUCAGGCAGGCAACACUUGCCGGAAUGGUUGACUCGGAGCCAGCAUGGUGGAUUUUCUGCGAUAACAAGCGACAGGUACCCGGCAGCUAGCGCGAGGCCGCCCGGGCGGUUUCAGAUCAGGAUAAACUCCUCAAACCCCAGGGAAUUUUCACCGUGCUUACAGAGACAAGAAUUACAUUAUCCUGAAUAAUUCCUCUAACGCGCAAAAGCAAGCGCGACUUUUUUUUCUUCAGGAGAAAGAACAUCCGAUGGAUCAGUGGCGCCUCUUAUGCAGGGUGGCAAAAGUCAGCAUGGAUUGCAACGACAAGCCAACCACAAGUCAUCUACUGGAGCUUCAUUCGUGGAAGCCUGACGCGUCGCCGUUGGGGAAAACAACGCUGAUCUGGGCAGGGCUUUUCUGCAGCCAGAGUUUUCGUGCUGACCAUGCAGGUUUUUGGUUGGGCUAAUCAUGCUUUAGAAGCUGCCAAUCCUGCAUUAGGACCUGAAUGAGCAAUCAAGGUCGUUAUCCUAGCGAAGAUGCAGCCCUUUCCGCGUCUUUUUCUUCGGUUUGAAUUGGUGGCCAAACAUCAUAUGCCCCUGCAUGGCGCCCUGCUGCAAGAUUGGUCAGAGAUUUCUCCCCUUUGUUAUUGGAGGAUAUCAGGUGUGCGUGCGUGGACGUCGUACGACCAUGAGAGCAGAGCAUCAGGGUUGCACAACAAAUUCACACAUUGUGAAGGCAAAUGUUCAGGAAUUUUGUGAGAAAUUGGGCACAGAGACGACGAAGGCGAGCAUCACGGCUCGCAUGAAUUGCGUCUGAAUGAAGUUGCUUAAGGAGUUGUUCAGCACAUUGCUCCGAGGUAAUAGUGUGUUUCCAUCCAUUUAAUUUUGUGGUAAUGGCAAUGGAAGUCAUAUGAGUAUGUUUUGCGGUUUCUCUGCUGAAUCUGAAUGUCAGACAGAAUACAAUUUGAUGGGGGGUCAAUAAGGUAAAUUGGUUCCAAAAAAAUCAAUGUGUUGAUGUGUGAAGUAUCAAUGCAGCUACUUGUAAUUAGCUGAGAUCAUUUCAACAAGCUUGUCAUGCAGAGCUCCAUUUGUCACCAGAACACCGCCCGAAGGGUAGAUGAUUCUGCGAGAUGUUAGGUCAGCUGCAAGAUCCAACGGUUUUCCACUCCAGUCACUAAUCUGUCAGUUUCAGAAAGUUACAAGAUCAUCGUGAUGAACUGGGAACUGGGUUGACAUUUGGGAUAAUCUUGUCUUAACAAGCAAGGAAGGUACAAACCUGGCCACCGGCUUCCUGCACGCAAAUUACCCCAACAGCAUGAUCCCAGGACUAUGUAAACAGUAUGAAAAGAAAGGGUCAUCAGUGCACCAGUUAACUAAGUCAACAAGCUGUUUAACUUGUCAUGCAGGACAAGGGGAAAUUGUAGGCAAACAAGGCACCUUGAUCUGAGUUGUCGUCCGUGCUCGAAGGACAAAAACGGAGGCUCUCCCGGAAGCUACAGUUAGAUACUUGCACAAGCUAUAGAAUAGCAACAAGAAGAGCACAUCAGGAUGAACUCAUAUGCAGCCGACCAAUCGAUAAACAUUAAUCGAUCUAAUAUAGUCAUCAUCAACCUCAGCCAGAUUUUUAUAGGAAAUUCAAUGAUAGCAGGACAGCACAGUAAUAGAGAAAGAUAUUUAACAUUUUAGGCUAUGCCAGAAAGUCUACGGUACAUAAACAAAAGAGCAUAGUAUCCAUAGCUAACUUGAGGAUGGGGAGAAAAACAGUCAUUGAUUUCAAAUGACUGUUGGUCAUCGUUAGCACCAUAUGUUGGAGAAAUCAGUCAUUGUUUGGAAUGCCUUAGCUCAUUAGCUAGCAUCAUAUAUUAACUUGCUGGAGGCAUGAUAACAAAAAUCUUAUGCAAGUAUCAAAUCAUGAAUGGAAGGUGCAACAAACCUGCCACAGAAAACCGAUAGGAGAAGAAUUUCAUUCUCAUUUCUAGGAUCAGAUUCACCCGUUGUUGAAUUGAAGAGAACAGAUAAUGGUAUCAUAUCCCAUGUUUGGCUAUCUGGAAUGCAAUAGCGUGCCAUGUGAACAACUGAACAUGUAUCAACAAAGCAUCUUUUCCAAAUAUCCGGUGCGGUAGUGAAUUGGCCAAUCUCAGCAGACAAGCGCCUAGUCCAUGUACCACAGCCUAGAUGAGAUAUCAUAAGAAUCCCACGGCCAUUACAUGCAGCAGCACUGUCAUCUUUCCCGUUGGCUACGGUAUAAUUGGUCCAAUUCGGACAUCCCAUCACUCCAACUGUUACCUUUCCAUUCACCACAAGAGCCAGACCCACCUUAAGAAAUGGCAAAAAUGUAUGUUAGAAGAAAAAGAACACGUAAAUAAAAGCAAGCCAGGUUAAUAACAAAUAAUUUAAUAAAGAAUCCUGAAUUAGCCAGUCCAUGCUGAACACGCUUGGUAUUCAGAUGCGUGAAGUUUGUCACCAAAUAACAAAGUGCUGCGGAACUCAAAAGGCAAAAAAGGUGCCUCAUAAAAAAUCUGUAUGAACAUUCUUAACCUCAGUUAAUCGUUAAUGAUGUGAAAUCAUAUAAUGUCUUGUAGUAAUGAGGGUGAGGGGCUAUCUGGAAAUCCUCUAAUCACAUGCCUUGGCAUUCCAUGAAUCUUGUGACAAGUAAAUAGCUGAGAGCAUCUGGAUCACUUAUGCUAUAUGAGGAAAUUAACAGAGGCUCUGAACCAACCUACAGUAAUAUCAAUAUAGAAAAUCCCAAGACAGAGGAACAUGCCUGGCACAAAUGUGGCACCAAGAAAUUACCCAAGAGACCGUGCUUGCAGAAUGGAAGACAUUUUUCGUGCAAAAAUUAUUCAGCCUAGGUAAAAUUGAAGAAUAUGUAGCAGGGGCUGAAUAAAGCAUAUCAGUGCCAGAUCAACAGCAUGUAAAGAUGAGUUUUACUGUUUUAGAAAGAAAUUAGGGGAUCAUACCACAUAAAGAGCAUCAUCCCCUCUCAAGAAACCUUUGGUGCCAUCAAUUGGAUCAAGUACCUCCAAACCAAAGCAUAAACUUUAUGACAUAUUAACUUGGCAGAUACCAAUAAAUGAAUUAACUUCAAAGAACUGAACGUGUAUGAUAAAUAAAACAUGACAGCUUACUGAUUACCCAAUAAGUAGCAGGGUUUGAAUCAAAUGAGACAGCAUCCUUGCCUCCUCUAUCAAUUGCUCUCAGCACAUCAUCUUGAGUUAAAGGUGAACCACUGUUGCUCACUUUGUCUGCAACUGCACUAAAAAUUGACUCAACAAGUACAUCACUACUAUUAUCGUCAGCUUCUGAUGACCUUAGAGAUGCCGAGUCCUCUUCUGCCACCAGAGGUAUUGAUGGGAACAGUCUCUGGAGUUCUUCCAAUAGCAACAUGGUAAAAUAUGGCAUUAGACAAAGCCACAAAACUGAACUUCGAAAUUGUGCUAUGGAUUACCCAAACUAACAAGGGCCUGCACCCCGAAAUCCGCAAUUGUGACAGGAGUUUGGUCAUUCUUUUCAAGAAUACUCUUGCCACCUGAAAACAGUGACCUCUUCACCUGUCAAAACAUACAACCGACCAAGCAAAAUGGAGCUCAGACAUUUUUGUAGUGAGACUUCAGUCAAACAUUCAGAUUUGUUCCAUCAUAUCUGAAUGAUAACUCACAAAAAUUACAUAUUGAUACAGUGCAGACUAUUGGCUGCUCAACAUACAAAGCAAACCCUGUUGAGCUUCCCAAUUCUACUAUGCUUGUUUAGUAAUAUCUCAAAUUCAGACUAGAUCAAUGUCAAUUCUCUUUUUGAAUGAUCCAUGAAUAAUUUGUUUAUGAGUACAUUCAGCAUUGUGUGAAUUAUUAUACGUCAAACUUUUUAUUUCCUAAUGUAACCCAUAUAGUAUGAACUUGCCUCUACCAUGGUUAGUGUUUCCUGUCCCAGGCAUAAAUGAUAUAUCCUGCUAAGACUUUGACCCAUUUUGUCUAGGAAAAUGGAGUGGCGUGCUCUAGGUAUAAAAAGAGGGCGUAGCCGGUGCUGAAAGAUCCCACACAAGGUCUCUGGGGAAGGGAAUUUCUAGAAAGCCUUGCCCUUCUUAAUUACAAGGAGGCUGGGGAAGGGAAUUUCUAGACCACGCCCACCCUUAGGUAGUCCAUGCAUUACUAAGCGGAUAGUAAUUUUUAAUCUUUUUGUUUGACAAUAACUAAAUAACAUUUUAUGCGAUUAAUGCACACUUACUCGUAAGGCAAACACAAGCCUCAUUGGAUGGUUUUACUGAAGCUUGUGGGUACACAGAAAAUCAAUGCUAUUAGGAUCACAAACCUAUGUAGCAGUGGCGGAGCUUGAAGGAAAUAAAGCGGAGGCAAUCAGUACUAUAUUGUUGCCCUGUGCAGAUUUAUUAAUUUCUAAGCAUCAGGAAAUGUAGAGCGAAACUUUGGAUUGACCAAGUUUCAUGGCUCUUGAAAGCAUGGCAUCAGAUUGACAGCCUGGUGCAGUGGUGCUCCACAAAUUCGUAAAGACUUAUGUUUCUAAAGAAAAAUCAACACAAUGUUGCUCUCAAAAGGUCAAUCCUUAUGCAAACUAGUUGACCAUUUAGAUCAUUUCUGUUCAGCCGUACUAUUGCAUUGCCAAGAAGCUGUGAGCUUGUGAGAGCCCAGUUUGUGAUUUAGAACAUCUAGUGUUUCCCCAAUGCUGCACGAAUUAUAUGCACGGCUGCCUAUACAUCAAGUGAUCCCGCCAAACAGAAAUUUAUCCCGCGCUGAUACCUAAGCAGAAGCCUCUAAUUUCACCGAACCAGUAAAUCAGGAGGAGAGGGGAUGAGGUCAACUCACGUCAACGCAGAGGCGGCAGGCGCGCUCCACGGCGGCGAUGGCCGCGGCGAGCUCGUGGUGGUGGGAGGCGCGCUCCGGAGGGAAGGGGAGCCCGUAGGUCUCCGCUGCGACUGACACGGCUGCAUCCCCAGCCGCCGCCCUGUCCAGGAACGAGCAUGAGUGAGCAGAAGCGGCGGCGGCGGUCGGGUUCUUAAACUCGCGCGCAUGUGACGACAGGGUAGGGUUAGGAUCCGGAGGAGGGUCGUGAGUUUGUUCACCUGAAUGAGAGGCGGGUAUGACGGGGAGCCGGCGGGAAGCACAGCCGGCCGCGGCCGGCGACGAGGAGGCGGUGCGGCGGGAGCGAGAGGUGGAGGAGCGGCAUGGCUGUGUGUGGCGGGAGCGAGACGCGCGGCGCGGUUGCGAUGCCGCCGCACGGAAUACGUAUACGUAUUCGGUGGGUAUAUUCGCGACAUACUAGUGGGAAGACAAAAUACGCGUUCAAGAGCUGGAUACGCUUCUCUCUCUGAUACGCGAUCACGAGCAUAGUAAUAAACUAAUAAUGGCCCAGUCCCUUACUUUCCUAGUUGGGCCUAAGUUUUUUUCUGAGUUCGUUGGGCCUAGAAGUAAUCGGGCUAUAGCAGGUAGAGAAAGUGUUUGUAGCGAGCACGUUGAAUUUGGGGGUUUUUUUUUUAGAAGAACGUCAAUGUGCUCCGUCCAUUUCAAAUCUUUCUCCUAAAUCUAGUCUUGAUCAAAUUUAUCGAAAAAUGUAAAAAUAUCUAUAACAUCAAACUAGUCUCACUAGAUGAACCAUGAAAUAUAUCUCAAUAAUGCAUUUUAUUUGCUAUUGCAAAUGUUAAUAUAUUUUUAUAUUAACUUAAUCACAACUAGUCACGUAAGUUUUCUACGUUGCCUCGCUGGUUGUGUUUGGUAGUUGGAACCUUCGAAAUGGACUAUAGUAGACGAGAAUAGUACAGAUACAUUCAAUUGAAUACGACCAUCAUUGCGCAUUGCUUGCUAAUCGUCGCCGUUUUCGUGGAGGGCUUCAUUUAGCAGCAAAACACUACCACCAUUACCAACGUUUCACCAUCACGCCCGGCCUGGUCUAAGUUAGUAUCUUGGUGAUAUGCCAUUUAUAGUGAGAGCAUGCCAUGAGACUGGAGGUGCGAGGUGUAAGUGCAAUUAUUUAAUUUGUAGAGAAAAUUUUGCAAUGUUUCCAAAUCGUCGAUCGGUGUUUGUUGAGAGCCGAUGCGUAUACUAUCUACGCUGAUUGCAUCAACACAGCUGCCAGGGAUAAAGGCACGGAUAAGGAAUACUCAGACCCAAUGUUAGCCUACACGUUAAAUGGUAAAUAGUCAGUCACCUAUCGUUUAGCUGGACAUUUAAACAGGUUACACGGUCAUUAAAUGGGUAAGCGGACGAUUAACACUACUACAGAAAACGGCUUUAGUACUAGGAACCCCCUCUAGUACCAGUUGUGCAACCUGUACUAGCAAUUCAGUACUAAGGGGGUCCCUUUAAUACCAGUUGAAGAUGUUAAAAAAUUAAAAAAAAUGAAAUCCCCAUCGCCCGCCCACUCCCCCCUCCUUUGCCGCUCGCCUCCUACUCCGCCCCACCCGCUCCGCCGCCGCCCGCCGUGAGGGCCGGUGAGGGUGCCGGGUGAGGAGGAGGUAGAGGAGGAGGAGGAAUUAAGUUAAGGAAGAGGAGUAGGCAGAGGAGGAGGAGGAAUUAAGUCAAGGAAGAGGAGAGAGUGAGAGAGGAGAGAGAGAGAGAUGAGAGGGCAGGUGGGAGACGGAUAAAAAGCUGGCAACAGCGGGUGAAGGAUAAGAAGACAAGAGAGAGGAUGGAGCUUUAGUAUCGGGUGGUAGCUCCACCCGGUACUAAAGGUAACCUCUAGUACCAGGUGUAGCUAUCACCCGAUACUAAAGGGUCUCCGAGGAUCUCAAAUUUGGACCGAGUACUAAUGCUAACGUUAGUACCGGGUCCAAAUAUGACCGGUAUUGAGGCUGUGGACGAGAGGUCAUUUUUCUAGUAGUGUAAACGGACACGACUUACCACUGUGUAGCAUUUAAAUAGUGUGUAAACGGACUAAACGACCGUGUUGGCGAACACUGCUCAGGCCAAGCCUUCACGACUACAGAAUCGGCCAGUUGCCAGUGGCCAGAGCUCCAUUUUUUUUCCGGCAGGGAAUUGUUGUUGCGUAGGUAGUGGUAAGAUCGAUCUAACGAAUUAAUUCAAGAUGUGUACAAGUGAAUGCAUUAAUUCAUCACUGGUUCAUAUAUUACAAAUCACAAGUCCCCAUCAGCAAGCUCUCCUAAUUAACGAGACCUCCAUUAACAAACUAUCGGAUCGAUCUUCCCACCAUACCCUCUCACUCAUCACAAAAUGAUAUCACGCACGCAUGGGUUCAUCCAUCUCCGCCAGCUGAUAGAGAUCACAGUUAAUUAAUUCAAGAACACGUUUCGAUCGAUGGACGACGGAGCAAUGGCGGCUUAAGAGGAUCCUCCGAACGUGUCGAAGAUGGUGGUGUGGAGCGGGUCGCUGAGGUGGGUGGCCCAGUUGUUGAGCGGGCCCUUGCCGGUGGCGGCGGCCUGCACGGCGAAGCCGAGGAAGGCGACCAUGGCGAGGCGCGCGUGCUUGAUCUCCGCCAGCUGCAGCCGCUCCUUCUUCUCCGGGUCGGCCGCCAGGCCGAGCGGGUCGAAGUAGGAGCCGCCCGGGUAGAGCCUCUUCUCCGGGUCGAGCUCGGCGUUGCGCUGGAACUCGAUGUAGCCGAUCACGAGCACCUCGAUCCAGAUGAGUGUCGAGAUGGAGAAGGGCAGCGGCUGCCCCAGGUAGGACGACCCGUCCACAAGCUCAACCUGCCAGCCAUCAAUAACGUUCAGGUUAGACGCUUGCAUAAGGAUGGAAUGAAACAAUUUUGGUGCACAUAUGUAUAUAUACAUACCUUGCCGGCGUCCUGCCAGGUGACGCCGGUGAGCCACUCGACGGAGAGGGCGCCGAGGGUGGCGAGCAUGGCCCAGCGGCCGUGGAUGAGCUCGCACUCGCGGAAACGCUGGAGGCCGAAGACCUCGCUGUAGGGCUGGAACGGGGUGGACUUGACGUCGGAGGACUCGAAGCGGGUGCCGAUGAUGCCGCCGGCCUCGUUCUUGGCCAGGUUCUGGUCCAGCGAGUCCAGCUCGAACUGCAGGUACUCCACGGGCUUCCCGAGCCCGAACGGGUCGAACCCGUAGUCGCCCACCAGUGACCCGUCGAGGUAGUCGGGCGCCACCGCGCCGGGGAACCAGAGCGGCCGGUCGGAGACCGACGACGUCUUGGCCGCCUUCUUCGGGGCGGCGGUCUUCUUGCCGCCGCCGAACCCGAACCGGGCCACGAUGCGCCCGUUCUGCGGCGCUGGGUCCGCCAG
rnacentral:lncRNA from 1 species